rnacentral:lncRNA from 1 species
CACAACACCAUUAUACUAGGCCUUAGGCAGGAUCUUGCCAGUGCCAACAAGAAGAUCAAGGAAUUAGAGCGCCGCUAAGUUAUCUAGAUUAGACCUUGAGGCAAUACAUCUUAUCUAUCUUUAAAUUCGGUUUAAGUUUGCUAUUAUCAGUUUGUUAUUAUCAGUUUGUUAUCAGUUUGCUAUCAGUCUUUUUGUCAUAAAUGCCUCAAGAUCAAUAAAGAGUAUUACUAUUAUUAUUAUGUUUUGUGUGUCUCUACUUUAUUUUUGUGCAAGAAAGCAGAAAACAAGUAUGGGGGAGAUCCCUCAACAUGCCAAACACACUCCGACUACACCACUCCACGAUUCAGGUACACACUCUGCACACUUUACUUUACACAUAUUUUGGAUUAUGCAGAUUACUGUUUCCGACAUGAUAAAUUAAAAAGAUUAAAAUAUUUCUAAUCAUGAUUAAUCUCAAUCUGUGAUAUUUCCUGAAAACUUGCAAUUAUUAUAAAAUCAUUUUAAAACCCUGUGUUACUUAAGUCAAUAUGGAAUAUGUGAUGGUAGAGUAUGAGUUUCUUAUUCUUGAUAUCAUCGUUGCUUGGAGAACUUAUUUCAAAAUAUUCAAAUUUCUAGCUACCAUCCUCAGUGUUUUAUAUGCCUGAUAAAACUGAAAUAUUAAUUAUGAUUAUAAAAGCUAUCUGCUCUGUAUUGAGUUUGUUCAAAAUGAGUUAGACCCUUGUUGAUUUAUCAUGCUCCCAAGAUCAAGACAUUAUUUCAGAAAGAUUCACUCUUCCGAAGUAUUAUUGCAUUAGAGGCAUGGGCUAUGCAAAAAUAGAAGAUAUUUCGAGGAAAUAAAAAGGAGCAAGUGCUCGACAACCUCGCAGAAAAAAUGGACAAGUGUCCGGCAGUAGAAUUAGGGGUACCUCGGUAUCCACUUAAAAAAAAUAUGAUAGCCCAUGGUCCCUCUAAUAAGCAAUAUGCCAGCAAGAGUUGACAAAGUUUUUAAAGUCUUUGAUCUAAGAGUAUGACAUUCCCCUCCUCGGAUCCCGUUUUGAUCAGGCAAUAAAUGCAAAGUGAGUAUGCUUAAGAAUUUUUGCAAAAUAAAACAACCUCAGUGAGAUAUAUAUACAAAAGAUAAUGAGUGAUCUGAGAGAACCUAUGAGGAUAAAAAGGUAUGCUAACUUUCUUUUAAAAAUAUACAAAAACUCCAAGUGACAGGAUUGAGAAGAAAGGAUCUUUACUCUUAAUCAUAUACUUCCCUGACUAUGGUACACAGUGGAAAUUUUAACACCCUGCAAAUAUAAAAUGCUUUAAAAUGUUUUACCCCAGAUAUUUUUCUUAACCAUCCUUUUCUCGAGGACGAGUAAAAGCCUAAGUAUGGGGGUAUUUGUUGACAGUUCUUAAGUAUCAAUUUUAAUUAUCAAAUAAACAAGAGAAAGGACCAAUAUGCAACCAGCACAUAGAAUUAGGGUUUGAUCUGACAGAAUUCCACGAGUUUUGUUGUUUAUCUAUUUCUGCAGGGGGUUAUCAGGAAAUAAGGAAGAAAGGCCCACAUGUCAGGAUUACAUAGAGAUAUCAACGCACCGCGCAAUUUUACAUCAUCUAGAAGACUCCAGAAGCCACGAGACCGAAGCGGAGGCGAAGCUGGGCCAGGCCCAGGGCGCCCGCCCUGGAAGCCUGGGCGCCCGCCCCCCUUCUGGAGCCAAUUCAGGACUCCUUCGCUCGGGAUAUUCCACCGACCUAUUGGAUCAAGAAAAACAUAGUACCACCUCGGCUAUCGACCCAAAAACGCAUAGAAGGGGAGGACUAUAUAAGCGAGGCCCCCCUGGCCCCUGGAAGAUAUGAAGAAAUUAUCAUAGAGACUGAGGGGUGCCCUCGAAGGAAAACCUCUUCUCUAAUUAAUAUUUAUUUUUAGGCUUAGCAAUCAAUGUAAGGUAGAAAUAGAUCUUCUAGUUUCUACUAGAUUGAGAGAUAUAGAGUGGAGGUGUAGAGUGGAGGAAGCCCGGCCUGUCGGUGUCUACUCCAAGCUUGUACCUGCGGGAUCAAGUUCUCCUAACCCGAAGCUUGCUCCUAGGAUUCUUCAGUAAUUCGACUUCUAAAUUCUAGUAAGUUCUUGUUUUAUUGUUCUUAUGGUUUAUGAGUUUACUUUAAUCUCUUCGCGUAGAGUUUAGAGUAAUCAUUGCUGGCGUAAACGUGGUGUUUAGGCUGGGGUACUCAUAGAUAUUCCCUGACUAGCUGGACCGUGGUAGUAGUGAGGAACGUGACAUUUCCGAGCUACCUUUGUAGAUCACAUCUCGUUAGCAGGAAGGAUAGGGUUUAUAGGUGCGGGUCGAACAUCCUUUGUGGUGUCUAGAUUCCGUUAGCCUCCCCAUUAGAACAGUAGAUCAUCCUUACCAAGGUUAGAAGGAGACUACAGUUGCAGUCUUCUCUAUUUAUCACUCACAUCGAAAGACAUUCUUUGUGCCUAAAGGUUAGUAGUAAUAGACCGGUUAGUCAGAUGCACUCUUUCUCCUAGUGGUAAAAAAUAAAUACGAUACUCUGGAUAAUUUCCCGGGUGAAAUGCUCACCGAUAUCCGUGCGCUUGCGGAUCAAUUCCUUAUUGCGUUCCCAAAUAUCAACACUUGCUUCCAUGUGGGCCCAAGGAUCCAUGUGCUAAGUGUUUGAACCGUUGAGGGCAUGCACACUUGGAUCCAAGGGUUGGGAUUGACUCCUUGGAGUAUGCCAUGGCUCAUGCCAUGGAGGGGAGCCCCUGGUGGGCCCAAACCAUGGUCGGCCGACCUAGGUUAUGGGGCCCAUAGGGCUCAUUUCCUUCUUCCAUGCAUUUAACAAGCUAAGAGUACAUGUGGAACUUUAUUAGUGAUAAAUAUGUUCAUGUGAUGCUUAUCUUCCUUCAAUCGAGGACUAUUGAUAGGCUUUUCAGUAUAUAGAACUGGGUGUUAUUUCCUGUCAACAAGAUCCCCCAAGCUUAACCUUUGCUCGUCCCGAGCAAACAAUCAAGACUUGGUUCGAUUAGAUCAGGUAUUAUCACUAAGUUAACAUCUUAAUAGUACUAAGUGCACAACAAAGAACUUCUCCUUGAAUGGAAAACUUAGCAAUGCUAACACACCAAUGUUACUCCAGCCAUGGGGCUUAUAACAUUAACUCAGUCUUGGGAUGUUGAGAGAUAGAAUAGCUUUGAGUGGACAUCUACUUUUCUCAUUCUUUAGCAAGUUUCAUGCUAGAGGUUUUUGCUAAGUUUUUCAAAAGAAAUCUUAAUGUUCCUCAUAUGGUUUCUCUCAAGUCACUUAAGUGGUGUAUAAAUCCUUACCGAGGCAUAUGAGUAAGUUGCCUUCUCUAUGUAAUCCUACUAUAAUAAAGGCUUAUGUGGAUCUCAAGGUAGGAACAAGGGGAUGGCGUACUUACAUUGCAUAUGUUGUGAAGUCAAACCUCGGAUCCUUGGAGGAAGAGUACUGUCAUGCUCGAGAUCAAGAUAUAUAUGUGAAAAGGUGGUAAGAUUUUGAUGGCUAGAUGGCCCCUUUAUUUGAUUGUGCUCCCUCUAUUUUUUCUAUUGAGACAAGGCUAGCAUUUUUCUCUCUUUUUUUCAAGGACUUGAUGAUGUCCUUUCUAACAAGAUGAUUAUUUUUCUAUAGCCUUUGUUUGUGUCUCAUCUAACAUUUAGCUAUUAGAGAGAGAUUCUACACUUAGAGCCUGGAGCAUCUAUAUUUGGUGGAAUGGAAUGGAAUGGUAUGGAAUGUUGCAUACUCCCAGUGUAGGAGCAGCAGAUGUAUGUGGAUGGUGUGGAUCUUGAACUCAUUGAGCAUGACACAACUCUAAACCAAGGGUCAACAAGAGUUGACAACUCUCAACACAAGCAAGCAGCCUAUGUGCUGGGUUUCUAUCAUGUAGAGCAAAUAUGGCUUGUGGUAGGAAUUUAACACCAUUGAGGAACAAUUAAGUUUUUAUUCAUCUUUAAAAAAAAUAAAUUCUCUGGCAAUCAUGCAUGCUUAGAACAAUAGUAUAGAUCUCUUAUCUUAGCUAUAUCAUGUCUCACAACAACUUAGACUUGGUUUUAGCACUUGCAACCCACUAAGUAUUUCAAGUUCAUGAUGGUUAAGGAUGCUAAGUAGUCCAUAAUUAGAGAAAUGCUAAGUUGUAAACAAGUACUAGAGAGACAUUAACUAGCAAUUUCAUCAUCAUUUCCAUAGGAAGGAUAGCACACAUGAAGCAUAUAUAUAAAAAGGAAAUAAAGUGAAUAAAUAUUUUUGGAUUUUUUUAUGCAAGAAGGAAACAAACAAAAUGCAAUAAAACAAGAAUUAAAUUAGGGGGGUUGGAAACUCACCUUGGAUAAACUUACCUUAGUAGGGAAGAGAAUCUCCCCAAGCUUGUCUUCCCACUGGUCCCAUCGGUAUUCACUCUCAGCUUGGAGGCUUUGGGCCAUGUGCAAGUUCUCUUGCAUGAGCAGCAAGGUGGUCUGUGGUCCGAUGUUGAUGUUCUCCAUAUCGCUGAUGAGUGUCUGCAUUUUGGACGGUGGUUGGCGCCUCCCUCUACCAUGAGGGCGAGCUAUGCGCGCUGCUGAAGAUGUCCUAGAGUGAUGAGGUGUUUCCAUGUGCAUGGAGUCCACCUCAUCCUCCUCUUGUGGUGCAGCAUAAGAGGGACCAACUUGCUGUUGAGCAGCAUGGGACCGUGCUCUUAUCAUUCUGUCGGUACCUGCAACAGGGUUAGCUCUAUUCUCUCUUCCUAGCCUCAGGGUUAGUGAUGAAGCAUUAUACAACCAAAGCUCCUCAUUGGGGAGAGAGACCUCAAUAGGAUGGUUCCCAUAAAUCAUUUUAAGGCCAUUUUUGGGAUCUCUCUUAAUCAAAUUAGCACUCCUAAAUAUCUACUCACCUAAGAGAGGUCUAUCAUCCUGGAUGUACUCUACUUCAUUUGUUUCAAGGAAACUCAUAGAUUCAGCAAUUCUAGUGAUAAGUGAAGUAAAGCAUAGGGGAUUGACUACUUGGAUCCAACGGUUGGGAUUGACUCCUUGGAGUAUGCCAUGGCUCAUGCCAUGGAGGGGAGCCCCUGGUGGGCCUAAACCAUGGUUGGCCGACCUAGGUUAUGGGGCCCACAGGGCUCAUUUUCUUCUUCUCUGCAUUGAACAAGCUAAGAGUACAAGUGGAACUUUAUUAGUGAUAAAUAUGUUCAUGUGAUGCUUAUCUUCCUUCCAUCAAGGACUGUUGAUGGGCUUUUGAGUAUAUAGAAUUGGGUCUUAUUUCCCAUCAACGCCAAGCCUCUCCCGAUAUGCACCUGGUUCGCUCAUAAGUAUCUGAUUCUACCGAUGCAAUAAUGUAGGAAGAAUCCCCAGGGACAACUUCAAUUUUAUCGCCUACCCAUUGAACAAGGCACUGAUGCAUCAUAGAAGGGAUACAACAAUUGGCAUGAAUCCUAUCUCUCCCUAAUAGUAGAUUGUACGCGCCCUUUCCGUUGAUGACAAAGAAAGUUGUCGACAAGGUUUUGCUGCCGAUGGUCAGUUCAACGCAUACAACUCCUUUAGCUAGAGACACAUUACCUUCAAAAUCUUUCAGCAUCAUAUCGGUCUUGGUUAAAUCCUAAUCUCCUUUACCAAGCUUCCGAUACAUUACAUAUGUCAUAAUAUUAAUUGCAGCCCCUCCAUCAAUAAGUAUUUUAGAGACUAGCUGCCCAUCAACCCUGCCUUUAACGAACAAAGCUUUAAGAUGUUGCCUUUCAUCAUCAGAGGGUUUCUCAAAAAUAGCCAUCAUUGGUCAAGUGCCAACUGAGCUAUUUGAUCAGAGAUACUAAUUUCCUCAUCAUCACUAGAGGGUGCAAGAAAUUCCAUCGGCAACAUAAAUACCACAUUGACAUCUGCCGAUGGUCCCUUCCCCUUGCGGUCUAACUGCUGCUGAUUUUCAAACUCAGAAGAUUUUUCUUCCCUAUACAAAUCUUCCUGACGUUCCCGUUGCAUUCUCCUCCUCUGUGUUCUUGUCAAACCCUCUGGACUACUUCGGGGAAGCUUUGUCUUCCAAACUGGCUGAUAGCGCACCUCCUUCCACUCUACAUGAUGAAUGUUGGAAUCUCUGCAAAAUAUGAAUUCAUCGAAACCCGUGCAUUUGCCAUCUCUUCAUGUUUCCCUUGAUUCCUUGGGAAAUGAUCGACACAUCCAACAAGCCUUUCAUGCACAUUAAGCCUGGCCCCCAGCCGAUCAUGUAUUGAUGUUCUCCCCCUGAUCGACUCAUUAAAACACCGAUUAUUGGCUUGGAAUAUCUGAUUUGGCCGAUUAUGUUCACGGUAACCAUUGCACUCAAGACAGUCUUCAAUAGUCGGCAAUUUGAUAUCUCAUUCCCAACAAUGAAUAAAGAAUGGGCAAUCCUAAUGAUUUUUAUGCCGAUUCCACUCCUCCCGACGUCUAUCCUCUUGUUGACGCUGAUAUCGAUCCUCACGCUGUUGCCAAUUCUCUUGUUACCGUCUAUGAGUGAUUACUACGCCAGAUUGGGGAGCUGUCUAGAACUGCUGCCUUCCCUCAACAAACCCUUUCCUUUGGCAUCAUUGGUAGUUAUCUGGUGCUGGGGAUCUACCGAGGCAUUCUUCUCAGCCGUUUCUGAUGUCAAGACUUUAGUCUUACCCUUGGCGUCUAACAUAUUCGUGGGGAAAGGGUGUUGAUCAAUCUUCAUCACCUUCUGAGUUUUGGAAUUAUCGAACUUGUUUCUCCUAGAUUCUAUAGCUGAUUGCAACUGCUUCCUGAACACUUUAUAUUCAUUUGUACUAUGCGAAGUUGCAUUAUGCCAUUUGCAAUACUUAAUCUUUUUCAGCUCCUCCACUAAUGUUAUUACAUGAUUGGGUGACAAUUUAAUCUGCCCCUACUAAAGCAAAAAAUCAAAUAUCCUAUCGGCUUUGGUGAUAUCAAAAGCAAAUCUCUCUGGUUCUCUCUGGCCAAAAGGACAAGACAUCGGCUUCUUAUUUUUUACCCACUCUGCCAAGCCGAUGACUGGUUCUUCAUCAGAAUCAGAACUUCCUGCCUCAUCAACAAAUGAUACUUUCUUAUUCCAAGUCUUUCUAGGUUCAAAAGCCUUGACAUCUUGAUCAGAAAUCCUCUGCACCAAAUGACACAAACUUUCAAACUCUUGAGAGGCUUAUUUAUCUUUGAGAUGUGGUAGCAAUCCUUGAAAGGCUAAAUCGGCUAACUGCCGAUCAUCCAGACCAGGCUGUAACAUUUGUUCUUUACAUCCCGCAGCCUCUACACAAAGCUUUCCACCGAUUCAUCAUUAUGUUGUUGUAACCUUACUAAAUUGGUAAUCUUCUUCUCAUGAACUCUAGGAAAGAAGUACUUAUGAAAUUGUUUCUCUAAAUCGGCCCAGGUGAUGACUGAAUUUGGAUGUAAUGAAAUAAACCAGGUAAAAGCCGAUCCCGACAAGGAUGAUGAAAAUAAAUGAACUCUUAAUUCAUCUCUGUUAGCAGCCUCUCCACAUUGAAUGAUGAACUGAUUAACAUGCUCCAUGGUUGAGGUAUCAUCUUGUCCAGAGAACUUAGUGAAAUCCAGUACCUUGUACCGAUUUGGGAGCGAAAUUAAAUCAUAUGCAGGAGGAUAUGGUGUCCGAUAAGAGUAAGUAUUAACCUUGGGUUUUAUCCCAAACUGAUCUCUCAUAACUUCUUCUAUCUUAUCGGCCCAAUAGGCAUCAACAUCUUGCCGAUGUACAGGUUGAACUUCUGGCACCUGGUAAUACGCCUCCAUGUGUCUCUGGGGUAUACGGUCUCCAGCAAACAUCAUAUUAGCCAUAUCUUGCGGACCACCGAUCUGCUGAGCAAGAUUCAUCGGUUGAACUGCCGGUGCCUGAUUCUGAAAACCGACCCGCAUAUGUCCCUGUUGGACUCCUACAACCUGAUGAUUCUACUGCGUCGUAUGUGGGAAGACCAACUGUCCCAUCCAACCAUUGUUAGCAUUCAUCAGCACAAGACUCACUGAUGGUUGGUAAUUAGUUGUUAUUGCUAGAUUGACAUAACCCACGUGAGACAUAAACCUCUGUUGUGUCGGCACUGGAUUUGCCGAUGAGUUUGCAUUAGGCAUCUGGAACGUUGACGUCUGAAAAUUCCCAGCAAUUGGCCUCGCAGUAGUUGUUGUGGAAUACUGAGGUACCUGAGUCAUCGAUGAAACUAGAAGCGCCGAUGGCAUGGGAGUCUUCCCUCCUAAGUCAGUCACCUGAGAUGUUCUAGAAGUAUUUGCAAAGAAUUUUGGAGGCAUACCAUAUCCCCACUAGUUGGGAGGAACCUGACAUUUUUGAAAUACAGACCCUGACAUAGCCGAUGCCAUGAGAUCUGUAUUGAGCUGGACCCGUCCCCCUAAGGUCAUUGGAUCAGAUCUCAUCGGUGUAGAUGGCUCAUUAACCAACCCUGCUGUGCUUGAAGGAGAAGUAACCUCUGUACCCGCAACGGCUGAAGGAGCCGAUGGAGCCACAACUGAUGAUAAUCUUGGCUAAUGAUAGGCUGGGCCAGCAUAAAGUGGUGGUGUCUAUCCUUCUUUAAAAGUUUGAACCAUAGCAUUGUAAACAGUAUUGGACAGCACAUUGGAGUGAUUAAUCAAAGCAUUAUUAACAACAUUAUUAACCAUGUCUUGCAAUUUACCAGGAUUGGGAUCAAAGGUAACCUGCCAAGGUAACGAUAGAUCUUGCUUCUGAAUAACCUCCCCGCUCCUAUUCACACUGAAGGCUUUCAAACAGAGCUGCUUGUAUUCCUCCAUAGCCCUCUCCAUAGCUUGCCUAUGUUCUUCUCUGAGAUCAGCUUCUAUUACGCCAAUAACGUUGUCUGUGUCGAGAUGAGAAGUAGCCAUGUCAAUCCUUGUAGAUGAAUGUCCCACUGGGUGUGCCAAACGAUGUGUUGAUGCAAAAAUAAAUCUACAAACACAAAGGGCUAAUACCCAAUUUCAAUAUCAAGGCGUACUAGCCGAUUUGACGUAGCAAUCGACAAAGGUGAUACCUUGAAUACUUUGGUCCCAACAACACUGAUGCGCCCCGAUGUCACGGCCAAGAGGUACUCACACGGAACUCAAGAAAUCAUCGAGUAUGACUCGCCGAAUCCUUGAGAACUCGUAAACAGAAAAAGUAUACGAAUUGACGAAGUCGUCGAGAAGUUGACGUAAAAGUAGAUGUAAAACUUGUGUUUGGUAUUGAUUUAUUCUUUUACAUCACUCCUGGGUUUAUAUCUGUACCCUAGCCCCUAAGAGUUACAACCGAACACGAUUAAGAUUCAACUAAAGUAAAUGAGACUCCUAUGUCCAUCCUAGUUACGAUGAAGUCUUCAUUGGUUCCUGCUUCAAGUCUUCAUCGGCUUUAUGUUCCAAGUCUUCAUCGGCUCCUGUCCCAUUGGCACAUAGAUGCCUCUUCAGCAACGAUUUUCACAUCCUCCUCCAUCGGCAUUUGUGAUCAAUCAUCCUUUAUCAGCAUCGGCAAUCAAUCGACAACAAUCAGUAGUCGUCAUUUCCAACCCCAGGCUAGCAGAAUCCUCCCACCAAUCAUCAUUCUAUCAUCGGCAUCAUUCGAAUCAGCUAUCGGCACUCUUCUAUCGAUUUGGCACAACAACUUCCCCACUACCAAUCAGUCCUCCUUAACCAUCUUGUCUCAUGCCUAAAAAUGGUGUCAACAUAUAGUUAAACCAUGGAUCCAAAGAAACUAAUCAUACAAUCAAAUCAUAUGUGUAUGUGGAUAAGAGGAGUAAAGUAAGUGAUAUAAAUGGUGAUGAUGAUAGUAGUGGAGAUCUAAUUUUACAUUUGCUCCUUGGUGAUGACAUACCUCCCUUAUUUUGAAACUGAAGACCUUGGAGGAACUUGGCGUGCUCUAUUACUUUUGUUUCUUGGGACAUUUGCCCUCUUUCUUUCUUUUCUUUCUCUUUUUUCUGAGAGCAACCAAGCCUCUUACUAGAAAUAUAUUAAUAGGGAGUGAUAACUGGAGUAACUAGAGCUUUAUUGGAUGACGGAAAAAGGAUAGGAUGGCAACAUAUAUUUUUGGUGUUCACUCCCACUGUAGGAGUAGAACAUUUUCUAAAUGAAUGAAGUGUAUGCAUGUGAAUAAAGGAAUGCGUACUCCCAGGGUAGAAGCAGCAUAGGUGCAUGGAGUGUGUAUAUAUGUGGGUGGUACUUCUAGGAAUAGAAGUAGCAGAGAGUAAAUGGGGGCGUACUUCUGAGGACAGAAGCAGCAUAGAUCAAUCGAUGGAGAGCACAUAAUAUUGACUUUAACUACAUGACUAAUUCCUAAUGGUCAACAUACCUUAACUACAUGCAAUGCCUACAAGCAGUAUAUAAAGUGGAUGGCUUUCCAAAUCUAGUAAGCAUGUAUAUUGGCUGUGGUAGGAAUUUAAACUCUAGUCAUACAGGAACUCAUCAUGCAGCAAUUUUGGAUUUUCAAAGAUAAAUUCUCUAGAACUCUAGUAUCUCUAGGAACAAGAUGGAUAGCAGCUCAAAACCUUCCCACAUCAUAUCCGUCAACUACCUAGACUUAGAUCAAUCCUUUGCUACCCAUGAGUUUUAGGUUCAGAGCAAACCUCAAAUCAAUAUAGUUGUUUCAAAACUCAGGAGAGUUCGAGGUUGAAAACUAGGUACUUGAAAGGAAUUACAACAGAGCAACAAUUCAUCAUUUCCAUACAAGAGAUUAUUUUAUAGGGUUUAUUUUAGCAGGCAAUUUCUUCCAAUACUCUCCUAAAUUUUAUUUAGCAAACUUAAUAUCAAAUAAAAAGAUAGAUAUAGAUAUAAAUAAAUAGGGAAAUCCUUAUUUGGGUUUCUAUGGUUAUGCAUCUUUUUAUUUGUUUCAGAUUAAAAUAGCACACUUAAUAAAUAGAUAAGUGAGUGAUACUUAGCUGGAUAAACGGGGGUGCUCUCCUCCAUGCUGGAUGUUAACGUAGUCUGUUAGCGUUGCUAACUGACAGUGAAGGCGUACUGGUCCUCCUAGAGUGUUAGGGAUGGUUGUCACUGUCUCCUGCUUGGAACUCGGCCUCUGUUGUAGCAUCAGUCACUGUUUCCUACUUGGAACUUUUCUAGCUUACUGCACCUCCAUUUAUCAUGAACACAAAACCUGAUUGAGAUUGUGAAUCAUCUGUGUCAGUUUGGAAGCUAGCAUCGGUGUAACCAUUUACAACGAGCUCCUCCUCACCUCCAUAGAUUAGGAACACAUCUUUAGUCCUUCUCAAGUACAUAAGAAUAGUUUUAACAAGUGUCCAGUGACUUUCACCUAGAUUAUUCUGGUACCUGCUUGCAACACUUAGAGCAUAUGAGACAUCUGGGCGAGUACAUUUCAUGGCAUACAUGAUGGAACCAAUUGCCGAAGCGUAUGGAACUUUACUCAUGCGUAUGCGCUCUUUAUCUGAUGAAGGACAUUGCUUACCACUAAAACGCAUACCAUGUGACAUAGGCAAGAACCCUCUCUUAGAUUGUUCCAUGUUGAACCAUUUCAACACAUUGUCUAUGUAUGUAUCUUGGCUUAAUCCUAUUAGCCUUUUGGACCUAUCUCUAUAGAUCUUAAUGCCCAAAAUGUAUGUUGCUUCUCCUAAAUCAAUCAUAGAAAAAGUAUUAUUCAGUGAAGUCUUUACUGAUUGCAACAAUGGAAUGUCAUUCUGAAUCAAUAAUAUGUCAUCCACAUAUAAGAUUAGAAAUACAACAGCACCCCCACUUUCCUUCUUGUAAACACAAGGUUCUUCUUCAUUCUGACGAAAGCCAAAUCCUUUGACCACUUCAUCAAAACAAAUAUUCCAACUCCGAGGUGCUUGCUUUAAUCCAUAAAUGGAUUUCUUAAGCUUGCAUAUUUUUUCAGCAUUAUUAGGGUCAACAAAACCUUUAGGUUGUAUCAUAUACACGACCUCUUCCAAAUUUCCAUUUAGAAAGGCUGUUUUAACAUCCAUCUACCAUAUCUCAUAUUCAAAAUAUGCAGCGAUUGCUAGGAUGAUCUAGAUAGAUUUAAGCAUCGCUACUAGAGAGAAAGUCUCAUUGUAGUCAAUUCUUGAACUUGCCUAAAACCCUUCGCGACAAGUCGAGCUUUAUAGAUGUGAACAUUUCCAUCUAUAUCCUUUUUCUUUUUAUAGAUCCAUUUGCACUCUAUGGGUCUAACCCAUCAGGCGGAUCAACCAAGUUCCAAACUUGAUUAUCUCUCAUGGAAUCUAUCUUGGAUCUCAUGGCACUUUGCCAUUUCUCGAAAUAUGGGUCCAUCAUUGCUUCUGCAUAAAUUGCAGGUUCGUCAUUGUCUAACAAUAACAAUUCCCCAUGCAAUUCACGAAGUCUUGCUGAUCUUCGUAGUUGUGGUGGUGUUUCUACCACGGGCGUCUCAACUUGUUCUGCUAUGUUAGCAUCGCUCGUAGAGUCUGUCCAUUUUUCUCCCUUUUGAGAAACUCUUUCUCUAAGAAAACAAUGUUUCGAUUAACAAACACUUUUCCCUCUGUCCGGUUAUAGACAUAAUACCCUAAAGUUUCCUUUGGGCAUCCUAUGAAAAAGCACUUGUCUGAUUUGGGUGUUAGUUUAUCUGAUAUAAGUCGUUUGACAUAAACUUCACAACCCCAAAUUUUUAGAAAAGACAAACUAGGACACUUACCAGUACACAUCUCAUAUGGUGUCUUAACUACAAACUUAGAUGGUACCCUGUUUAAAGUGAAAGCGGCUGUUUCUAGAGCAUAUCCCCAAAAUGAUAAAGGUAGGUCUGAGUGGCUCAUAGACCAAACCACGUCCAACAAAGUUCGAUAAUGUCGCUCAGAUACACCGUUCCUCUGAGGUGUUUCGAGUGGCAUAAGUUGUGGAACGAUUCCACAGCUCUUUAGAUGUUUGCUAAAUUUGUGACUCAAAUAUUUGCCUCCACGUUCAGAUCGCAAAUCCUUAAUUUUCUUACCAUGUUAAUUCUAUACUUACAUUCUGAAAUUCUUUGAACUUUAAAUGUUUCCGACUUAUGUUUCAUUAAGUAGACAUAUGCAUAUCUACUAAAAUCAUCAGUAAAAGUUAUGAAGUAUUGGAAUCUGCCUCUAGCUGUCGUGCUCAUUGUUCUAGAUCCAUCAGUAUGUAUAAGUUCCAACAAGUCAGACGCUCUCUCAGCAAAACCUAUGAUAGGUGCCUUGGUCAUCUUUCCUAGUAAGCAAGACUCACAUGUCCCGUAUGAUUCAAAAUUGAUAUUUGCAACAAAACUUGUGGAAAGGUUAGUUCAAAGCCCUACCAUCUAUUUAUUUUAUUUAUUAAAAUGAUGUUUAUAAUUAUAAGAUAAGGGGUACCAACAACAUUAAGACUAGCUCAUAAGAAUAAUCAAAUGCUCAUUGCUUGACCGCUAACUCAUUAUUAAAUACGAGCCUCGAGUUUUGUUUUUCUUGUUGGAGUACUACUAUGCAGGAAUGAUAUCAUAACAAGGAGAGAGUCUAUCGGUGGCACCCACCAUCGCCACUGGCCAGCUCGCUCUAAAGGACAUCAACACCAAGUAUUGCAAACAUCCAGCUUGGGGGAGGAGCAUCCCCUAGUUAUCAAGUAAUCAUACCUAAGCAAUUAUCGAGUCUAUAUAGUCACUAAAAUACCAAAAAUAUGUGGGCACAUGAAGGUCCACAAGACAUAGAGUCUUUUAUGAGUUUAUAAUUAGCUAAGUGUUAGAGUCUGUUUAGAGUUAGUCUAAACUAGAGCUAAAUAAAAAUUGAUGAACAUUAAAAUUUUGUCUUGAAAAUGAUGAAUAGUCGCUCUACUCUUUACAAGUACCUAGAUUCCAACGAUAGAUUUUCUCGAGUUUUAGACAUUACUGUUUUAAUUUGAAGAUUUCCUCUGAACCUGAAUUUUGUGGAGGCAUAAGUUGAGCUAAGUCUAGGUAGUUGGUUGAUAUGAUCAUUGAAGGUCUGAGCUGCUAUUUAUCUUAUUCCUAGCAUUACUAAGUUCUCGAGAUUUAUUUUGAAAACCCAAAAAUCUACAUGAUGAGCUCUAGUAUGACAGAAUAAUUCCUACCAAAGCCAUAUAUAAUAUAUAUUUAGGGUUAGGAAAAACAUUUGCACUUUUAUGCUGGUUGCUUUCAUUGAGUUCAGUCAACCUUUGUCGUAUACCUUAUGAGAGUCUUGCCAUGCUUUCUAAAUCAAGAUCACGUACACACUCGAGUUCAUAUAUGCAUUAUUCCCACACUAGGAGUAAACACCAACAAUCACCCUAUAGGAUAACCCUUGUCUUUAACGUUCUAAGUUCUUGUUAUUGUCCCUCAAAUCAUUUAUUGUAUUUAAAAGAUACAUGUGGCUAUGCAAAAAUAUAAAAGAACAAAAGGGAGUAAAAGAUGGACAAGUGUCACAAUAAUUAAAAUAAUGGGUACUAGAUGCCCACCUCCCUUUGCUUAAAAAAGAGAUAGCCCAUGUCUUUCCUGAAAAGUCUCAAUAGAGAGUUAUUCCCAAAGAAAUAAGAAUUAGCCACAAAUACCACAAAUUAACCUAUCCACCAUAUUCCAUACUGAAAUGUCCUAAUAUGGCUAGAGGGGGGUGAAUAGCCUAUUAAUAAUCUACAAACUCACUAGAACAAGAGGUUAGUAAAUAACAAAGCAAAGCUUUUUGCUCUAGCUCUAAUGGGGUGUUUGGAAGCCACCUAUUCAACAAUUCUAGUUGAUAAGAUCGCUAGGCACACAAGAGCUAUGUCACUACAAGCUACACUAGUGAGCUAUACUCACAAGGCAAAGUGACCAACUAAACUAAUUACACUACUUUGCGGUAAAUGAAGAAUAGGAUGAGAUAUUUAUACCACCGUGUAGGGGAUGAACCAAUCGCCAAUACAGACAAUCAAACACCGAGAGAAUGUCAAUCAAUCACAAUUGAGACACCAAUUUUUCUCCCGAGGUUCACGUGCUUCCCGGCACGCUACGUCCCUAUUGGUCGACCAACACUUGGUGGUUCGGCGGCUAAGAGGUGUAGCACGAACCUCGUCCUCACUAGGACACUACAAGAACCUAUCCACAAGUGAGGUAGCUCAAUGACACGAGCAAUCCACUAAUGUUGCCUUUUGCUCUCCGCCGAGGUAGGCACAAACCCCUCACAAUCACUGGGAGAUGGCCACAAACAAUCACCAACUCGUGACAAAGCUCCUCCGCUGCUCCAAGCCAUCUAGGUGGCGGCAACCACCAAGAGCAACAAGAAAACCGCAGCUAGAAUGAUCCCCAAGUGCCACUAGAUGGAAUCACUCAAGCAAAUGCACUUGGAAUCACUCCCAAUCUCACAAAGAUGAAUAAUCUAUGAAGGAGAUGAGUGGGAGGUGUUUGCUUAGGCUCACAAGGAUGUCAAGUAUGCUAGAAUGCCAAGAGAGUGAGCCCCAAGCCGGCCAACAUGUAUUUAUAAGCCCCUCAAACAAAUAGAGUCGUUGGCUCUUUCACUGGGCAGAAAUCGGGACCACUGGACGUGCCGUAGGAGACCACCAGAUGCACAGACCCUGCGUCUGGUGCUCUAGAGGAAGCCACGUGUCCCCCUUUUGAACCAGGCACGUUGAUCUCUAACAGUCAAAACUGAGUCAUCGGAUGCGCUCAAGUUAGCACCAAACGCGUCCGGUGCACACCGGUCACGUGCGCAGAGAGGUCUGCAAACACACAACCUCACCAGACUCAUGCGCAUAGAGGGUUGCAAACUGCGUGCACACUGGACUCACACCAACGGAUGCACCCUGAGCGUCCGGUGCUCUUAGUCAGAAACCCCCUACGUCCGGUGCCCUGCGUGCGGUGCUCAACCCUAACAGGGCCUAGCACUGACAACACAACCGUACCCUAAGGGCCAGCGUCCGGUGCCUCUGCACACUGCAUCCGAUGAGAAACACUCACGCAACUUCCCCAAAUUUCCCACCAGUGCAAUAGAAAAUAUGCAUUUCAUUUUCUCAAAAAGCGCCGAAUCCCGCCAAGCAAGCUCGGCGGGAGGGAGAGAGGAACCCAAACCUCUCUCUACCCUUCAACUUUAACCUCCUUCUCAAAGUGUGCUAACACUACCAAGAGUGUACCAACAAGUGCACGUGUCUUAGCAUUUUCACAAUCAUUUUCUUCAAAGGAGUUAAGUUAGCUCACUAGGUUCUAAAUGCAUGCUCAUGAACAAUGACACCUAGUGGCACUUGACAACCGUUUAGCCAAAGAAUUCCCCACUUUAUAGUGUAGCUAUCUAUCCUAAAUGUGAUCACACCCUGUAUGGUGCCUUGAUCAUCAAAACCAAAACCCUAAGCAAUACCUUUGCCUUGAACUCCAUGGGGUUUUGGUUUUCUCUUUCUUCUUUUCAAAGUUGAGCACUUUAUCAUCUUGUGGUCAUCAUCAUCAUCACCAUGAUCAUCACUUGCUCCAUCACUUGGCAUGUACCAACCUCAUUAAGUCUACACACACUUAGUAUAGAGGUUAGUACUAGGGUUUCAUCAAUUAUCCAAAACCAAACUAGGGCUUUCAAUCUCCCUCUUUUUGGUAAUAGAUGACAACCUUUUUACAAAGAUUUUAAAUAAAAUAUUUUUGGACUCAUUGAAAGGUCCUAAUAUGGCUAGAGGGGGUGAAUAGCCUAUUUAAAAAUUCUACAAACUCAUUAGAGUAAGAGGUUAGUAUAUAACAAAGCCAAGCUUUUGCUCUAGCUCUAAUGGGAUGUUUGCAAGCCACCUAACCAAUAAUUCUACUUGCUAUAAUCACUAAGCACACAAGAGCUAAGUCUCUUCUUACACUAGAGAGCUACCUAAAGUUUCUAUACAAGUAAGCUACUCUAGUUUGCAAGAAAAUAAAAGAAGGUAAUGCAAAGUUGAGUUAGAGAUGUUAUACCACCGUGUAGAGAGAUUGAUCCAAUCGCAAGAGAAUAUCCAAGAUAACUAAGAAUCCAAUCAAUCACCAAAUAACCAAGGGAGACAAAGAGACACAAGAUUUUUCUCUCGAGGUUCACAUGCUUGUCGGCACGCUACGUCCCCGUCGUGUCGACCAACACUUCGUGGUCCGGCGGUUAAUUGGGAUUCCACACCCAAGAUCACCACAAGCACCGCAAGGACCUACCACAAGUGAGAUAGCUCAAUGACACGUGCAAUCCACUAAUGGUUGCCUUUGGCUCUCCGUUGGGGUAGGCACAAAACCCGUCACAAUCACCAGGAGAUGGCCACGAACAACCACCAACUCAUGCCAAAGCUCCGUCGCAGCUCCAAGCCGCCUAGGUGGUGGCAACCACCAAGAGUAACAAGCAAACCCACUGUGCAAUGAUCACUAGUGCCACUAGAUGCUCAAACUCUAAUCAAAUGCAACUAGGAUCUCUCCCAAUCUCACUUUGGAUGAUCAAAUCUUGAACAAGGUGAGUGGGAUGUGUGGGAGUAUGCUCACAAGAUGUAUCAACAAGUUAGAGAGUCAAGAGUGUGAGCAAGAACCGGCCAACACAUAUUUAUAGAAGCCCCAAGCUUCAAAGAGCCGUUGGCCACAAUCCCACUGUCGUCUGUGCUCACACCGGAUGCAUCCUAGUUCACAUCGGAUGCGUCCGGUAUUGGCUAGGACAGCGUUCGGUGCUUUCGACCAUUUAAAAAGCAUCUGUUGCCGCCAAAUUGUGUCUCCCUAAAACAACAGCACCAGACUCACUAUUUGGUCACACCGGACGUGUUCGGUCCAUACCGGACGCGUGCGCAGAGAGCUCCGCAAAAGAGUAGCAGCAUCAGAUGCACACACCGGACGCGUGCGCAGAGAGCCUUGCAAACAGAGUGAACACCGGACACACACACCGGACACGUCCAGUUUCACAUUGGACGUGUCUGGUCUCACACCGGACGUGUCCGGUCCAUACCAGACGCGCUGCACCGGACGCGCAGGGUGUACUGUUCCUAUGUCCGGUGCUACACAAAAAGUUGAUUUUCACUGUAACGAUCUUCAAUUUCUUCCCUUGCUUCCAUGGGCCAACACCAAAGUGUCACAACACUUGUGGACAUGUGUUAGCAAUUUUCAUAAACAUUUUCAAAGGUUAGUUCAUUAGUUCACUAGGUCCUAAUGCAUAUGCAAGGAAUCCAAUCACCUAGUGGCACUUAGAUAACUGUUUUCACCACGAGAUUACCCCUCUUAAUAGUACAGCUAUCUAUCAUAAGUGUGAUCACACCCUCUAUGGUGUCUUGAUCACCAAAACCAAAACCCUAAGCAAUACCUUUGCCUUGAUCUCCAUAGGUUUUUGUUUUUCUCUUUCUUCUUUUCCAAGUUGAGCACUUGAUCAUCUUGUGGUCAUCACUAUCAUUACUAUGAUCAUCACUUGCUCCAUCACUGGGCAUGUACUAACCUUAUUAAGUCUACACGCACUUAGUAUAGAGGUUAGUACUAGGGUUUCAUCAAUUAUCCAAACCAAACUAGGGCUUUCAAUCUCCCCCUUUUUGGUAAUGGAUGACAACCCUUUUUACAAAGAUUUUCAAUAAAAUUUUCUUGGAUUCAUGUUGCUUGCCCAAGCAUUUUACCAUGUUGUAACAUCCUUGAUGUUACGAACACUAAAAACGGAUCAUGUCAUCAUAAGCAUUGCAAAGCAUAUUUGUUAAGCAUAUUAUUAUGCAUUAACUUAAAACAAGUUUAUUUUGAUUGCUUGUGUUUAGGGAAGUAGAGUGUGCUUAUGUGGUGUGUUGAUGCUUGUGUGGUUGCUAAAGCCCUAGGGUGGAAGUUUUUCGAAAGGCUAAGGGGGGAAACCCAGAUUUUUGGAACCCUAGAUUUGCCCCCUUUUGCACAACUUGAAAACUAAGCAAAAUUUGAGGUUGGGUUCAAAAGAAAAGUUGUAGAUCUUGUCAAGAUGUACAACUUUGGUGUUUUGAGUUUUUGAAGAUUCAAUACAAAAUUCAAAGUAAUUUUGAAAAUACAGAUUUCCAGAAAGUGUCCCCUUUUCUAACUUAAACCCCCAAUUCAAAAUCCAUUUGGAAUUUUGAAAAGUGGUCAACAUGAAAGUUGUAGAGCACAAAAAGUUGAGCAACUUUCAUGUUGGGAGUUUUUCAAGUUGUUAUGAAAAAUCAAAAGUAAUGUUAGAAAUCCUGAUUUGUCCCCAAUUCAAAAAUUUGAAUUUCUUUGAAUUGGAUUUGAUUUUGCAAACUGUUUUGGUUAAAUCACUGGUUUCCAUUCAGAAUCAGCCUAGGACACUUAAAUAUAUUUUGCAGCUUAUAAAAUUGUGCACAACUUUUGUUUUGGUUGAAUUUUGUGCUCAGUUCAAAUUUUGGGCGAAUUUUACAAAACUACAAACUGAUUGGAUCAGGGUCGCUACAGUGUUCGGCAGGGGGGGUGCUCUGCCGCCGGCGCAGAGCCACCUCCGCGCACGCCGCCACGCAGCUGGCCACGCAGCUGCUUGCUGCUGUGCUUCGUGCGGACGUCCUCAUCCGCAUCGCAGGCGCCGUCGCGUGGAUAAAGCCUCGGGUGGCCGGGACUUUUCUUUUCUUUUACUUGAACCUUAUCGCCGACGAGCUCCAUGCGCCUCUCAAAUUCACCGCAAGCACGUCCUCUUCAUCUUCCCCGAGUGCAGCACCCACUUCGCCCGCGACCUAGCUACCUCUUGGACCCUUCGCCGCACGCUUUGACCCCCUAGCGCCACCAGCCGAGCCGUCGUCCCCAACUCCGGCCAGGACCGCCGCCGAGGAACUCUUCACGUGGACACGUUGCUCCAGUCGGUACCACGCCUUGCAAGUGGUCGCUUCGAACUCUUCUCGUUUCCCCGAUGCUCAUGCACUCGCUUUUUCUCCUUGGACGUGAGCAGGACCACCGGGACGACCUCGCCGGAGCCGGAGCACCCGCCCGACCGCACGGCCACCGUCGCCAAGCUUCUCUGCUGCUUCUCCCGCCAUGGUGGUGUGAGCACCAUGAUCCCCACUUCUUCCUGAACCUCCCGGACCUGUUGGUUUAUGCUCUACCGAGCCCCAAGGGUCGGUCCACGGCCGGCCAGGGCAGCCGCCCGCCUUUCGCGCGGCCGGGGUAGGAAGAGAACGGUAGAGCGUCCUCGAGCCGUAUCUAUGGGGUCGCAAGGUCAAGGCGCAACUGAUGCGCACCCUGGUGUGGGCUUGGACCUCGCCAGCGGCGACCGGGAGCGCAGCAAGGCCGCCGUGCACGAGGGAGAUGGAACUGACAGGCGGGACCCGCCUGUCAGCGUUCCGCAGAGAAAGGGGAGAGGAGAGCCUGACGAGCGGGGCCCGCUCGUCAGUGUCCACGUGAGGGGAGGGGCAGCGCGCGCAGCGCGUAUGCGGGCCGUGUGCGCGUGGGCCGGCCUGCGGGCCAAGUUCCAGGCCGUCCGCUGCGCAAAAAUCUUUUUCUUUUUAUGCGAUUUUUGCUUGAUGUUUGAAGUUGUGUAAUAAAUUGUGUAGUGGUCCAAAAAUAGUGAAACUUUUUGUGUAAAUUCUAGAGAAUAUUUAGAGCAUAGGAAAAAUAUUAGAAUUUAUUUCUUUGGUGGUUUGUCUGUUCAUAAAAAUUUACUCCUUUAAUUGGUAAAUAAAACUUCUAGAAUUUUUAAUAAUUUAUUUGUGUGUCCAAAAAUCACCAAAAUUUGUGGGGAGCCUCUGAAUAUUGUUUCCAGGCUUCACACAAAAUUUAGUGGCAUUUGGAAUGUUUGAAUAAAAUAUUAUUAAACCCUUAUUUAGUAAGUAAAUAAUAAUUCCAAACUAAUUAAACAAUGAUUAACUAAAUCCUCAUGAUUAGGGUUUGAGUGACUUUGGGAUUGUGUGAUGACCUGAGGUCAUUAAUCCUAAUGAACUUUGGCAUUUAAUUAUAGUUUGGCCUUAAUGCUUAAUUACUGUCAUUAGUAGUUAAGUAAGGAUUAACCAAGGUAAAUAGAGACAAUAAUUAGUUAGUUUAGGGUAAUUAUAAAUUAAGAAAAGUCUUAAUUUACAGAUGCAACCUCUUGGGUAAAAACACUAAAAUGGUAAACAACGUUAAUUAAUGUUUAUUCUGUGUUGCACCGAGAAGGCAAGUUGUACUUGACUUGACCCUUCUUGCAUAUUUGUCAUACGCACAUCAUGAGCAUUCAUCAUUUUGCGUAUAGUAUCCGUGACCGAAGGAGCGCCCGUUGAACCAAACCCCGAGGUCGGUGCUCCGUUCGAGGAAGUCGGAUCCGAGACUUGGGAAGUCUCCGAGGGUCCCUCUCUGCCCUGCAACCAAGGCAAGCCCCGGAUGCAUUAACCCCUCCUUGAAUGUUUUAAAUCUUUUAUCACUUAUGAAUUAAAAAUGCUGCAUUAGUUAGUUGAGAAUUGGGUUAACCUACUUGCUGCAUUUACUACCUUGAUAUCUGUUAUCCUGUCCUUGACACCUGUUCAUUUUAACACUGUGUAGUGAUGCUUAGCCCUGCUACUAGAUAGGGUUUCAAAUAAGAAAGUUUGAAGGGUUGUUGUGGAAUACAUUUAUGAUUAAUGAUGUUUUAAUCUGAGACCGGUCGGUGGACUGGCUUUAAGAAUGGAGUCUUAAAGUAGUGUCUCCAACUGUGUCGGUUAAGGACCGGUCCGUUGAUGGCCCGCUGGGUUGAGAAUUUAUAGUACAAGCCACUUGCCCUCGGUAAGCCCGGUCUUGUGAUCCCUCGACGCGAACAGCUACUCGCGCACUGGGAGUGGAAAGAUGGCGAGAGUAGUGUGUACCCACCUUACGGAUCUGAGAUGACCGGAAAACAUCUAGAUCGGCUGUAGGAUGGUGGAGUACUGUGCUCUCGCGUGCCGCGAACCUGGUCAAAUUUGGGGAGAGCUGGAUUUGGGUUGACAUAUGCAAGUUUUGGUUAUACAUAUGUCGGGUGGUUAGGAACUGCAGCUGGAUUGCUAAGCGGUUCGAAUCGUCGUUGCUCCCCGAUUGGGAGACUCAAUCCACUGCCCCUCAUCGUAGUUAAUUAUGCAACUAAGUGGUAAAAUGAGAAAGGGAGAAAUGUCUCAUGAGGUUCGGAUCCCAAUUCCCGGACUCAUAGCGACAUGAAGCUAUGGCCAUCGAAUAAAUAAUACUGUAUUUUAGGACUAGGAACUCACAGACUCGUCUGUGGGGAGACAACUAGUUAGACUGUCCUCGAACUCCUCGGCCUCGACGGGAGAGGAAUUCGCAGGUAAAACUUGAAAGUAAGGAUGCACUAUUAGUAAGCUUUUAGCAAAACACGUUGGCUCCUUGCUCAGCCACUCCUUGCCUACCCUAAGCCUGCAUUCCUAAGUUCUCCUCUUUUUCUGCCGGAUAAGUCUUGUUGAGUACUCCCGUACUCAGGGUUUUAUAACCCCUGUUGCAGGUGAAGCUCAGGAGCCACCUUGUUUCGGACCCUGUUGUGUGACCGUCGUCGAGGUUGACGACGAAGAAGAGUGAGCGUGACCCUUGGGCAGGGUCUGUAAAUUUGUAACCGAUGUAUUAAAGUCUAAGUUGCUCCGCUGGACCUGGUUUGUAAUAACACUCUGCUAUUUGGAAGAACUCCUUUUGUAAAAUAAGUUAUGUAAUACUUCCGCUGUUUUACUCUGAAAUAUUAUUUUGGUCGUAUGCCGUUUGUGGUACUGCAAGGUCUUCGCAACGAAUGAUCCUGGUGUUAAGGUGGCCACUUGCUAUCCUGUAAGGGCGAGAAGAAGAAGUUCUCGUUAAUUGACCAUCACCAGUGGUCAGGAGCCGGCUUGGCACGCCACAGGUAGCAGUGGAAUGAGCAUCCAGCGAUGCUCAUCGGACUUCUAAAGUGGGAGGAUCCUCGGCAUCGCCGUCAGAGGUCCUUAGGACAAUGACAGGUGCCGGUGGGCCCAAACACUUAGGGGGUUCUGCCACAGCUGGUAUCAGAGCAUUCGUUGCUAAGAUGACUGUUGUACCUCUUGAAAAACUUCAAAAUUCCUUUGGAUCCAAUACUAUAAACUGGUCUACUUUGAGUCCAAGUGCUUAGUCCUAACUUACCCCUGUCUAUAGGCUUUCUUAGAAUUUUUGAAGUGGUAUGGAGGAGCAACCUAGAGUAUUGCCCUAUGUUGUAAAAAAUUAAAGUAAUAUCGUUGCUAAUCGUUGGUAGGAAUCGUAAGUUCGUGCAUGCAUCAUGAUGUAUUAACUGGUUAAGUUUCCUUCCUCCUUGUUCGGGUUGGGUGAAUAGAACCAAACCUAUUCUUGCUAACCUUUAAGGUCUCUCUUACUAAUCUAAACUUAUCCUCUACAGGAUGGCUCGUCAGAAGCAGACCCCGCGUAAGAGGGCAGGUCCAAAAGGAGUUCCCCGACAUCAGUUGGCUCCACGCAGUGAUCAAGCCAGUAGUAGCCGUUCACCGCCUCAGCCGGAGGUGGACAGGUUGUCCGCCGAGUUGACUGAGGUGAUGAGAGAAAGAAUGUACAAUGUUAUGGAGAUCGGCAAACUCAAAGCUCAACUAGCCAAAGAAAAACAAGCUACAGAGAACUGUGAAGCCAUGUUGUCCCGUAUGGUGGAGGAGAGGAAUGCCGCCAUUGCCCGAGAGGAAGAAGCUAGGAGCACACACAGGCAUGAGCUGACUAGGAUGAAUGCGAAGCUGGGCAAGGCCAGGUAUCUUAAAGAUUUGUACGUGAAGAUGGCGGCCACGGUCACCGCGCAGCGGGAUGUCGCGUGGCAGCGAGAGGACCAGCUCCAGUUGGAGAAGCUGGAGCUGGCACAUCACUUAGAUACCGUCAAUGACUUGGAGAUGCAAUAUCGUGAUAUUGCAUUUGAUCUGUAUCAUCAGCUCCACCCACCUCCAGGCGAAGGGGAGAUGGAUACGGAUGGCGAGUUGGCAGACGAUGGGGAACCCGAUCCAGGCCUCAGUGAUGAAGGGGAGUCCGACCCUGAUGACAACAACCCAGGGGGUAAUCAGGAGGAUGGCAAUGACGACCCGGGCUACAGCUCUGGCCACACCGACUAGUUCGGUGAAACCGCGGGCAACGUCAUUGUAGGAGUCCUAGCUUGCCGUAGUGGGGGUCGGGUUUGUAAUAUAAGUUUUCUUUCGGUUUGAGAAGUUGUACUUGUUUGUUCCUGGUGUGUUGAACUAAUGUUUAAUGAAUGAAUGGAAGAAUGUAAGAUAUGUUCUAUGUUAUGAAGUUCAUGUGGUGACAAGUACCUAUGAUUCUUGUAGCAGAUGCCGAUGCGUACACGCGGAUCUGAUGGAGCUGGGACAUCUCAGGGAGGGGAUGAUAUCCCCAACCCUCCACCUGCUCCACCUUCUUUGGCCGAGGCCAUUGCUGUUUUGUUGAAUGCUACUACUGACAACGCUCGCUUGCUGCGCGAGCUAGCACAACAUCAACCACACCCCGCCCCAAACUUCAGAGCACCACGCAACGGGGACGGAGAGACUCGGUAUGUGGACUUUACCGAGACCAGGCCCCCGGUGUUCACUAAGGCCGAUGAGCCUUUAGAAGCGGAUGACUGGCUCCGGACCAUGGAGCACAAGUUUAGUUUGAUUCAGUGUUCAGAAACUCAAAAGCCCCUGUUCGCAGCUCAGCAGCUUCGGGGAGCUGCAGGUGCCUGGUGGGAGAACUUCUUAGCUAUCCAAGCUCCCGGACACCAAGUCACCUGGACCGAGUUUAAGGACGCGUUCCGCGCCCAUUAUAUUCCUGAAGGGCUCAUGGCCAUGAAGGCCGAAGAGUUUCUCUCCUUGCAGCAGGGCGACAAAAGUGUCAUGGAAUAUGUGGCAAAGUUUAAUCAUCUCUCUCAAUAUGCCACAGACCAUGUAAACACUGACAGAAAGAAGAAAGCCUGCUUCAUGCGUGGUCUAAAUACUAAACUUCAGACCAUGAUGACCACUUGCCAAAAUGCUACCUUCUAUGAGGCGGUAAAUAUUGCCAUCACCUCAGAGGAAAAGAAUAGAAAGCAUAAAGAAGCCAAGGAGAAGGCUGCUUCUUCAUCCUUCUCUGGUCGCGGCCAAAAGCGCUAGAGAAUCAUUUAUCAUCCGCAGGGCCACGGACGUUUCCAAGCACCGUCACCUUAUCGUGGUCCUUUCUCCCCUCCACAGUAUAGACCAGGGCAGCAGGUAUACCCUCGACCUACUGCCAUCGCUCUUGCACCACGCCAGCCGAACGCCCCAGGUGUUCGCCCCACUACUCCGCCCAGCCACAAUUAUCCUUGUUUCAAUUGUGGUAAGCCUGGGCAUUUCUCUAAAGAGUGCCCUUUCCCCCGCCAAACCAACCCCACCUUCCAAAGGCCACCUAUGGGCCAAUCCCAGCCGGGUCAAUUCAGGACUGGGAUUCAGAAAGGACAACCUGUGCAAAGGGGAAAACCAGUGAAGAAAGUGGGACAAGUCUUCCAUACGGAGGUGGAGACGAUCCCGGAGGGUGAACCAGUAAUGAUGGGUACGUUUCCUGUCGCGAAACAUCCUGCUUUAAUGCUUUUCGAUUCUGGUGCAUCUCAUACAUUCAUCAAUCGCACCUUUGUGUUAAAGCAUGGCAUACCCAUUGGGGAAACACAAGAUCAUUUUUAUAUACAGUCGCCAGGAGGACGACUGAGUUCUAAAGAAAUGGUUCACCAGAUACCCAUCGAAUUUGGUGGGCAUAAUUUUCCCACUAGUAUGAUUGUUCUUAAAGACCAGGAGAUUGAUGUCAUACUAGGCAUGAACUGGAUGGCACAACGAGGGUUGUGCUAGAUACUUUGCAUCGAACCAUUAAAAUCCCAUUGCCCAGUGAGAAAUCUUAUCUCCUGAUCCAGUUAGCCACUCCCAAGCGGACAAUUGGGCAAGUUCAUGCCACUAAUGUGUCGGCAGUUAAAGAAAUCCCGGUAGUUCGGGAUUUUCCGGAUGUAUUUCCUGAAGACCUACCAGGUCUGCCUCCGGACCGGGAUGUACAAUUCAGUAUAGAUUUGAAACCAGGGACGGCCCCAAUAUCUCGAAGGGCCUACAGAAUGGCACCGAAAGAGCUGGCUGAAUUAAAAACCCAAUUACAAGAGCUGUUGUAGAAAGGUUUUAUUCAGCCCAGUUCUUCUCCCUGGGGUUGCCCAGCCUUGUUUGUGAAAAAGAAAGAUCAAACAUUAAGGCUGUGUGUCGAUUACCGUCCUCUAAAUGAGGUGACGAUUAAGAACAAGUACCCAUUGGCCCGUAUUGACUUACUGUUUGACCAGCUAGCUGGGGCCAAAGUAUUCUCAAAAAUUGAUUUGAGAUCUGGGUACCACCAAAUUAAAAUUAGGCCGGAAGAUGUGCCCAAGACAGCUUUUACAACCCGUUACGGACUGUAUGAAUACUUGGUGAUGUCCUUUGGGUUGACCAAUGCACCGGCCCAUUUCAUAUACCUGAUGAACUCUGUCUUCAUGCCAGAACUAGACAAAUUUGUCGUCGUCUUUAUUGAUGACAUCUUGAUCUACUCCAAGACUAAGAAAGAACAUGCUGAACAUUUGAGAAUCGUGCUGACUCGUCUCAGGGAGCAUCAGCUAUAUGCCAAGUUCAGCAAAUGUGAGUUCUAGCUGGACAAAGUCCAUUUCCUGGGUCACGUGUUGUCAGCUGAGGGAGUCGCUGUAGACCCAGGCAAAGUAGAAGAUGUGUUGAAUUGGAAACCCCCGACUACGGUACAUGAGGUCCGUAGUUUUCUGGGUAUGGCGGGAUAUUACCGUCAUUUUAUUCUGGACUUUUCAAGAGUCGCCAAACCAAUCACGACCUUGCUCAAAAAUCAAACAAAAUUUGUUUGGUCACCUCAAUGUGAGCAAGCCUUUCAGACUCUGAAAAGAUUAUUGACAACUGCACCUGUCUUAGCCCAGCCAGACAUUGAAAAACCCUUUGAUGUGUAUUGUGACGCAUCAGGGAUAGGGAUAGGCUGCGUGCUAAUGCAGGAGGGUCGUGUAAUUGCCUAUGCUUCCAGACAGCUCAAACCACAUGAAGAGAAUUACCCGACCCAUGAUCUAGAACUAGCCGUCGUGGUACAUGCAUUAAAGAUCUGGCGUCAUUAUCUGUUGGGGAACACAUGUCAUCUAUACACCGAUCACAAAAGCUUAAAGUAUAUCUUUACUCAAGCUGAGCUUAAUAUGCGCCAGCGAAGGUGGCUAGAAUUAAUUAAAGAUUACGACCUUGAGGUGCAUUAUCACCCUGGUAAGGCAAAUGUAGUAGCUGAUGCCCUCAGUCGUAAGGCUCACUGUAAUUGCUUAACAGUGACGCCGAGGGAUAUAACUUUGUGCCAAGAGCUAGAGAACUUGGGGAUAGAAAUGAUUUCCCAGGGAAGCCUUGCCAAUCUAAAGAUUGAUUUCAAUCUCGAAGCUCAAAUCAUAGAGGCACAAAAAGAAGACAAAGGCAUGAAACAUCUUAAAGAGAAGAUUUCUAAUAGAGCACCCACAGACUUUAAGGUGGAUGAUACAGGAGUAAUCUGGUUCAAGAACCGGUUAGUGGUUCCAAAGGUACCUGACCUACGUCAACGCAUCCUAGAUGAAGCUCAUACCACGAGGUAUUCUAUUCAUCCGGGAAGCAAUAAGAUGUAUCAGGACCUAAAACAGAGGUUUUGGUGGACAAAAAUGAAGAUAGAAAUAGCUCGCUAUGUGGCCCAAUGUGACACCUGUCGAAAAGUCAAAGCUAUUCAUCUCAAAUCUGCUGGGGAGUUGCAACCUUUGCCUAUUCCAGCCUGGAAAUGGGAUGACAUAAGUAUGGAUUUCAUAGUGGCGUUGCCCAGGACAGCCAAAGGCUUUGAUUCAAUUUGGGUCAUCGUAGAUCGUCUCACCAAAACAGCACACUUUUUACCUGUAAAGAAAUCGUAUCAUACUUCCACCUAUGCUCAGAUUUAUUUUGAUCGUAUCCUAAGUCUGCAUGGGGUGCCAAAGACAAUAGUGUCAGAUAGAGGCACACAAUUUGUCUCCCAAUUCUGGAAAUGUUUACACGAAUCCUUGGGUACCAAACUUUUAUAUAGCACAGCCUACCACCCUCAAACAGGUGGGCAAACUGAAAGGGUAAAUCAAACUCUAGAGGAUCUAUUGAGAUCUUGUGCCCUGAAUUUUCCAGAUAAGUGGGAUGACUGUUUGCCUCUAGCAGAAUUUUCUUACAACAAUAGCUACCAAGAGAGUAUCAAGAUGGCUCCCUUUGAGGCACUAUAUGGCCGUCGAUGUCGAACUCCGCUACACUGGUCGGAACCCGGAGAAAGAUGGUUCUUCGGGGUUGACUUAGUGAAAGAGACUGAGAACAAAGUGAAACAAAUCCAAAAAUAACUUGAAAGUUGCUCAGUCCCGACAGAAAAGUUACGCUGAUAAAAGACGUCGACCAUUAAAGUUCGCCAAAGGUGAUCUUGUGUAUUUGAAAGUAUCCCCAAUGAAAGGAGUAAAUCGUUUUGGUAUUAAAGGCAAGUUAGCACCCCGUUACAUUGGUCCAUUUCCAAUCAUUGACCGAUGUGGACAGGUAGCUUACCGCCUUAAAUUGCCCGAACGAUUAUCCGGGAUACAUAAUGUGUUCCAUGUGUCUCAACUGAAAAAAUGUCUGCGGGUACCAGACCAAGUUCAAGAUAUUGAAGAUGUAGAACUUGAACCAGAUCUAACUUAUUCGGAGUAUCCUGUCCGAAUACUGGAUCAAAGAAAUAGAAUUACUCGAAGAACAACUACCAAGUGGUACAAGAUACAGUGGAGCCAGCACUCUGAAGAGGAAGCCACCUGGGAAUCUGAGGACUAUCUACUGGAAAAUUUUCCUGAAUUCCACGCUUCUCUUCAGGGCAACAUGUGAUAAAUAGGGAGUGUACUCUAGUGAAGGAAAAGAGUCGUCAGAGCCAUGUACUUAAUGUACAUAUAUAUGUCUAUAAUUGAGUAAUCCUCCCCAACCUCUUGCUUUAUGGGAAAGUUGAAGAUGAAAGAGUGUUGACAAAUUUCCUUUUCCAUUACUUACCCUAAGGUUUUAAAUCUCGGGGACGAGAUUUCUUUAAGGAGGGAGGGCUGUAACAUCCUUGAUGUUACGAACACUAAAAACGGAUCAUGUCAUCAUAAGCAUUGCAAAGCAUAUUUGUUAAGCACAUUAUUAUGCAUUAACUUAAAACAAGUUUAUUUUGAUUGCUUGUGUUUAGGGAAGUAGAGUGUGCUUAUGUGGUGUGUUGAUGCUUGUGUGGUUGCUAAAGCCCUAGGGUGGAAGUUUUUCGAAAGGCUAAGGGGGGAAACCCUGAUUUUUGGAACCCUAGAUUUGCCCCCUUUUGCACAACUUGAAAACUAAGCAAAAUUUGAGGUUGGGUUCAAAAGAAAAGUUGUAGAUCUUGUCAAGAUGUACAACUUUGGUGUUUUGAGUUUUUGAAUAUUCAAUACAAAAUUCAAAGUAAUUUUGAAAAUACAGAUUUCCAGAAAGUGUCCCCUUUUCUAACUUAAACCCCCAAUUCAAAAUCCAUUUGGAAUUUUGAAAAGUGGUCAACAUGAAAGUUGUAGAGCACAAAAAGUUGAGCAACUUUCAUGUUGGGAGUUUUUCAAGUUGUUAUGAAAAAUCAAAAGUAAUUUUAGAAAUCCUGAUUUGUCCCCAAUUCAAAAUUUUGAAUUUCUUUGAAUUGGAUUUGAUUUUGCAAACUGUUUUGGUUAAAUCACUGGUUUCCAUUCAGAAUCAGCCUGGGACACUUAAAUAUAUUUUGUAGCUUAUAAAAUUGUGCACAACUUUUGUUUUGGUUGAAUUUUGUGCUCAGUUNNNNNNNNNNNNNNNNNNNNNNNNNNNNNNNNNNNNNNNNNNNNNNNNNNNNNNNNNNNNNNNNNNNNNNNNNNNNNNNNNNNNNNNNNNNNNNNNNNNNNNNNNNNNNNNNNNNNNNNNNNNNNNNNNNNNNNNNNNNNNNNNNNNNNNNNNNNNNNNNNNNNNNNNNNNNACGUAAACUUCAAACUAAAGCAGCAGGACCACCGGGACGACCUCGCCGGAGCCGGAGCACCCGCCCCACCGCACGGCCACCGUCGCCAAGCUUCUCUGCUGCUUCUCCCGCCGUGGUGGUGUGAGCACCAUGAUCCCCACUUCUUCCUGAACCUCCCGGACCUGUUGGUUUAUGCUCUACCGAGCCCCAAGGGUCGGUCCACGGCCGGCCAGGGCAGCCGCCCGCCUUUCGCGCGGCCGAGGUAGGAAGAGAACGGUAGAGCGUCCUCGAGCCGUAUCUAUGGGGUCGCAAGGUCAAGGCGCAACUGAUGCGCACCCUGGUGUGGGCUUGGACCUCGCCAGCGGCGACCGGGAGCGCAGCAAGGCCGCCGUGCACGAGGGAGACGGAACUGACAGGCGGGACCCGCCUGUCAGCGUUCCGCAGAGAAAGGGGAGAGGAGAGCCUGACGAGCGGGGCCCGCUCGUCAGUGUCCACGUGAGGGGAGGGGCAGCGCGCGCAGCGCGUAUGCGGGCCGCGUGCGCGUGGGCUGGCCUGCGGGCCAAGUUCCAGGCCGCCCGCUGUGCAAAAAUCUUUUUCUUUUUAUGCGAUUUUUGCUUGAUGUUUGAAGUUGUGUAAUAAAUUGUGUAGUGGUCCAAAAAUAGUGAAACUUUUUGUGUAAAUUCCACAGAAUAUUUAGAGCAUAGGAAAAAUAUUAGAAUUUAUUUCUUUGAUGGUUUGUCUGUUCAUAAAAAUUUACUCCUUUAAUUGGUAAAUAAAACUUCUAGAAUUUUUAAUAAUUUAUUUGUGUGUCCAAAAAUCACCAAAAUUUGUGGGGAGCCUCUGAAUAUUGUUUCCAGGCUUCACACAAAAUUUAGUGGCAUUUGGAAUGUUUGAAUAAAAUAUUAUUAAACCCUUAUUUAGUAAGUAAAUAAUAAUUCCAAAAUAAUUAAACAAUGAUUAGUUAAAUCCUCAUGAUUAGGAUUUGAGUGACUUUGGGAUUGUGUGAUGACCUGAGGUCAUUAAUCCUAAUGACCUUUGGCAUUUAAUUAUAGUUUGGCCUUAAUGCUUAAUUACUGUCAUUAGUAGUUAAUUAAGGAUUAACCAAGGUAAAUAGAGACAAUAAUUAGUUAGUUUAGGGUAAUUAUAAAUUAAGAAAAAUCUUAAUUUACAGAUGCAACCUCUUGGGUAAAAACACUAAAAUGGUAAACAACGUUAAUUAAUGUUUAUUCUGUGUUGCACCGAGAAGGAAAGUUGUACUUGACUUGACCCUUCUUGCAUAUUUGUCAUACGCACAUCAUGAGCAUUCAUCAUUUUGCGUAUAGUAUCCGUGACCGAAGGAGCGCCCGUUGAACCAAACCCCGAGGUCGGUGCUCUGUUCGAGGAAGUCGGAUCCGAGACUUGGGAAGUCUCCGAGGGUCCCUCUCUGCCCUGCAACCAAGGCAAGCCCCGGAUGCAUUAACCCCUCCUUGAAUGUUUUAAAUCUUUUAUCACUUAUGAAUUAAAAAUGCUGCAUUAGUUAGUUGAGAAUUGGGUUAACCUACUUGCUGCAUUUACUACCUUGAUAUCUGUUAUCCUGUCCUUGACACCUGUUCAUUUUAACACUGCGUAGUGAUGCUUAGCCCUGCUACUAGAUAGGGUUUCAAAUAAGAAAGUUUGAAGGGUUGUUGUGGAAUACAUUUAUGAUUAAUGAUGUUUUAAUCUGAGACCGGUCGGUGGACUUGCUUUAAGAAUGGAGUCUUAAAGUAGUGUCUCCAACUGUGUCGGUUAAGGACCGGUCCGUUGAUGGCCCGCUGGGUUGAGAAUUUAUAGUACAAGCCACUUGCCCUCGGUAAGCCCGGUCUUGUGAUCCCUCGACGCGAACAGCUACUCGCGCACUGGGAGUGGAAAGAUGGCGAGAGUAGUGUGUACCCACCUUACGGAUCUGAGAUGACCGGAAAACAUCUAGAUCGGCUGUAGGAUGGUGGAGUACUGUGCUCUCGGGUGCCGCGAACCUGGUCAAAUUUGGGGAGAGCUGGAUUUGGGUUGACAUAUGCAAGUUUUGGUUCUACAUAUGUCGGGUGGUUAGGAACUCCAGCUGGAUUGCUAGCGGUUCGAAUCGUCGUUGCUCCCCGAUUGGGAGACUCAAUCCACUGCCCCUCAUCGUAGUUAAUUAUGCAACUAAGUGGUAAAAUGAGAAAGGGAGAAAUGUCUCAUGAGGUUCAGAUCCCAAUUCCCGGACUCAUAGCGACAUGAAGCUAUGGCCAUCGAAUAAAUAAUACUGUAUUUUAGGACUAGGAACUCACAGACUCGUCUGUGGGGAGACAACUAGUUCGACUGUCCUCGAACUCCUCGGCCUCGACGGGAGAGGAAUUCACAGGUAAAACUUGAAAGUAAGGAUGCACUAUUAGCAAGCUUUUAGCAAAACACGUUGGCUCCUUGCUCAGCCACUCCUUGCCUACCCUAAGCCUGCAUUCCUAAGUUCUCCUCUUUUUCUGCCGGAUAAGUCUUGUUGAGUACUCCCGUACUCAGGGUUUUAUAACCCCUGUUGCAGGUGAAGCUCAGGAGCCGACUUGUUUCGGACCCUGUUGUGUGACCGUCGUCGAGGUUGACGACGAAGAAGAGUGAGCGUGACCCAUGGGCAGGGUCUGUAAAUUUGUAACCGAUGUAUUAAAGUCUAAGUUGCUCCACUGGACCUGGUUUGUAAUAACACUCUGCUAUUUGGAAGAACUCCUUUUAUAAAAUAAGUUAUGUAAUACUUCCACUGUUUUACUCUGAAAUAUUAUUUUGGUCGUAUGCCAUUUGUGGUACUGCAAGGUCUUCGCAACGAAUGAUCCUGGUGUUAAGGUGGCCACUUGCUAUCCUGUAAGGGCGAGAAGAAGAAGUUCUCAUUAAUUGACCAUCACCAGUGGUCAGGACGAGCCGGCUUGGCACGCCACAGGUAGCAGUGGAAUGAGCAUCCAGCGAUGCUCAUCGGACUUCUAAAGUGGGAGGAUCCUCGGCAUCGCCGUAAGAGGUCCUUAGGAUAAUGACAGGUUCCGGUGGGCCCAAACACUUAGGGGGUUCUGCCACACAUGUGCAAAGGUUAUGGACAAGUUUCAUAAACCCAAAUUGGUAGCAAUUGCUCCCCCUACAUAUGGGCUAAGAGUUUGGAUAUGAAAGCUUGCACAUAUGCUUGAAUAGGAAAUGUAGGAGUCAAUUUCUACCAAAUGAUGCUAAGGUGUAGAGAAUAGACCUUUGAAGCGUGAUACCAAUUGGAGUUGCCAAUGUACACCAUCCUUAGCACCAUUAGUAACUAGACUUCCACAAAGCUAGAACACCCUAUGAGAUCAAUAUUAUAAGCAAGGUUCUAGUCCUACUUGUGAGAUAACUAAAAGUCUAGUUACACUACCUAUACAUGCUAGUUCUUCAUUUUAUCAAUCAAACCUACAACUAUCAUACACCACACAAGUAAGGUAUUGGAGAGAAAACUACUAAAGCUAAUGCAAAUGCAAGCAAACAUAUGUGAUGCACAUUAAAAUGCAACAUGCAAGUUUAUGAGCUUUCUCCCCCUACUUGUGUGCUUCAAAAUUUUAAUUGAUCCCCUUCUUUUAUCAUGUUACUUCCCUAUCUUUGUACUUCUUUGUAAGUUCUCUCCUCUUUAGUAAAUCUUUGGGAAAUUCUCUCUCCCUUUGUCAUAAAUGACCACAAAAGCUGAGCUGAAAUUAUAGAUAGGUUAGUGUGAAACCAUGUGAAGUGAGAUCAUUUUCCCAAAUUAGUCCAAUCUAGAUUACUUGCCUAAGAUAUUUAACUCGGUUUGAUCCAAUGACAAGCUUUUUCACUCCUCUAAGUAAGGGUUAUCUUGUAUCAUGUUCAGUUAAACACUUAUAGCUCAUAUUCUAGAUCAAACACUAGGAUUGCAAGCCCAAAAACAUGUCAUAUGCUACCACUAGAUCAAGUCAAGCAUAGAAGCAAUAGUGGUACCAUACAAGCAUCAAAUUUAUUUGAUUUUCAUGAAUGAUCCUUAGACAUAUAAGAAAUGACUAGAUGCAUUAAACAAGUCCUUAGCAUAGGAUGGAUGACAUGUCAAACAAUUUUACCUUGCUUUGCUUGAAGGAGAGGCGUGUCAUAUAAUGGGGGUGCAUCAACACAUAUUUGAGAAGUCAAGUAUGUUCAACUCAUUCCUUAGCUUGCAAAACCUCUUCUCAUCAAGUGGCUUGGUGAAUAUAUAGCAAGUUGAUCAUCGGUGCCUAUACUCUCAAUGCGAAUGUCCCCUUUUUGUUGGUGAUCUCUUAUGAAGUGAUGGCAGACAUCUAUGUGCUUUGUUCUUGAGUGUUGAACUAGGUUGUUGGUGAGCUUCACGACACUUUCAUUGUCACAUAGCAAUGGCACUUCUUUAAAAUUUGUCGGUUUUUCCCCCCGGGGGGUCACACCAACUAGUAAAUUUGUAUGGGUGCUCCCUUUUCCACAUGGUGAUGCAAAAAAACACAAAGAUUUAUUCUGGUUCGGGCAAGAGAAAGCCCUACGUCCAGCGGGGGAGAAGUGUUUGUAUUAUUCUGCACCUAAGUGCUUGUACAGGGGUGAAUACAAGCGUGGUGUGAAUGGAGAUGGAGUGAGCUUGCUCCACUACGUAUGGCUUGAGUCUUGUGUUGUAUCCACUCCCGGGCCUCCCCUUUUAUAGUUCCAAGGAGGGGCCUAGGGUACAUGUAUAGGAGUCAGUGUAGGGAUCGGUAGAGGUAUGGCGCACUGACCUACUCGAGGUCUCCGUACCGGCGUGGCCUCGAGCCGUCCCGUCCUGGUAGCUUGAUGAUGAUCACGCAUGCCCUGGUAUCCUGCUCUGCGCGCUGUCCUGGGCUGGUUUAUCUGUUGCAUGCUUGUACGUUGCGGCUGCAUCUGCAUCGGAGUGGUUGAGGUGCUGUCACUCGACGCCCGACCCUUCUCCAGGAAGGAAAUGUGCCUACUCGAGGGUCUGGUGCCGUAUAACGCCUGGCUAGCUAGAGCGCUGAUCUUGGGCGUCGUGAGGGGGGCUUUGAUUAGACAUCUCGACCCAUUCCCUGCAACCUACCGCGCUCUGGCUUAUUUGGUGGGGAAUGCUGCAAAAAGAAUGACGAGACGGAUGCCUGUUCCCUAUCACGCUUCCCGUGACUGGCGGGUUAGGUGAGAACGCGACAGGCGCAUUAGAUGCCCUGGUUCCUGUGCCCGCGUCAGGCGGCGGACGGCAUCCUUGCGCUCAACGCCUUCUGAUUCGCUCUAGCCUGUUUUCGUGUUCGACGAUAGCCGAUUCUCGAGCCCUGAUCAAUUCGUAGGACGCUCUUUCCGUGUUCAAGUCCAUGACCGUCGAGGACCGUACGCGUGACUAGGUAGAGCGUCGAGCUGGAGGCCUCGACUUGCGUACGGGUAUUCUCGUCAUACACAUCAGUUAGGGUACCCCUUACUGAUACCCUCGACAGUAGCCCCCGAGUCUCCAUUUGAGCGCUGGCGCUCGAGUGGAGGCUAUAUUUUGUGGUCGAGUUUCCGUGGGGGCGCGCGAGUGACCCCGCGGGGGUAGCCCCCGAGCCCUUGGAGGAGUUUUUGACUCCUUCGAGGGUUAUAUCGCCUAAUUUGCAAAAACGCUCUCGACGCCUGUGGUGGAAGGUUUCCGAUUGGCUCGUUUUGCGCAGGAGUCUCGACGUACUCUCGAUAGAGCGAGCGCCAUAUUCCCCAGAUUGAGCUCCUAGCGGAUGAUCCAAGUGAGAACCUAUGCCCCUUUCGAGGGGGUCCGCUGUAGCCCGGGGGCGUUCUCAUAGAGCGGGGUCGACGUGGUCGGGGAUGCUGGUCUCGUUCGAUAGAGUCCAGUGGCUCGAUGCCUCCCUCCGGGGGAUUCCUCUCGACCGUCUCAACCCUGCCUUGGACAUCCCCAGCGAGUUCUCGAGGCGGGCCUCGAUUUUCGACCGCUCGCCGGGCAUCCCUGACUCUGGUGCUCGAGAUCGGCUGUCGAACCCUUCCGGCGGGUCAGCCUGCGACCUCUCUAGACUUUCAUGGGUGCGUACCUUGGCUUAUAGGGGAAGGAAAAGCACAGCGGCGGUUCACCUUUUUGCCCGUUGGGCGUGUCUUUUCAGGCGGGAGCCGUUGCAACACUGUAUCGGCGCAGAAUUCGUAGCGUUCCGUCUGUGAGGAGGGAAAAGACCGUUAGGUGGCGCAUUUAUGGGGGGAGUUACCGUGUUUAUCGGAUCUGUCCGUUGGUGGGUUGCCGUCUAUAAAUAUCCCGUGGCCUUGUUGCCAAUCUCCCUUCCGCCGUCUGCCUCCAUUCUCGCCUUAGCUCCCUUGCCUCCUCACUCGCACGCACCCUCAAGCACCAGUGAGGUCGCUUUUCUCCCACUUGAAGAUGCCUGUGAGGCUCGUCGCCGUCGACGACUGGUGCCCAUCGUCGAUGACGGAGCGCCGGCUGUUGGAGCUUGAGAGGGAGGGGCUCCUGUGCCCCUGCACGUCGUCGUCGUGGCCGGAGUGGAUCGCGCCGGCGGCGGAUCAUCGGGAGCCUAGGCCGCCCACGGGCUAUGUGGUCUCCUUCGCCAAAUUCCACCGCCACGGCCUGGGCGCUCCUCCGAGUCGCUUCAUGCGGGCGCUCUGCCAUCACUACGGGGUGGAGCUCUAGCACUUCUCCCCAAACGCCAUCACCGUCGCGGCGAUCUUUGCCGCGGUGUGUGAGGGUUAUUUGGGGAUGAUGCCCCACUGGUGUGAGGAAACCCGUGCGGGCUGGGUGCCUCAAUCUGGUGUUGAAGACCGGCAAAACGGAGAGGCCGCGCGAGUACAUCCCGGUGGGAUUGUCAUCGAACCACGCCGGAUGGGACUCCCAGUGGUUCUACUUGCGGAACGACGAUGGCCUCCUUCCUGCCUACACCGACCGCUUGAUCUCGGAACGCCCGGAGAACUGGACGUACGGCGUCGUCCAAGUCCACCAAUCGCGACUCGACCCCCUCCUCGACGCUUUGAAGAAAUUACGCAUGGAAGGCCUACCCGCACCUCUUGUCCUCUCGGCCGUUCAUCAUCGGAGGGUUCUCCUGUUGAUGUCUCGGCCGCUGAGGAUGUACGAGAUGGGUCCCGGCGUUUCAUCCCGGGACCUCGAAGCGUGCCAGAUGUCCGACGAGGCUCUGGCGAACGAUGGGGUCGCGGCCCGGGUCAGGGCGGCUGUCGCUGGUGACUUCAAGGCGGAGCAUGUCAACGGCUUCCCUAUGAGGCCCGACAUGGGGUCAAUUGACCUGGUAAGUCUCUAUGAGCCUGAUUCUCGAUUUUCUUCGAUUUUCUUAUGACUUGUCCUUGUCUGCGCAGGGAUCGAUCGACGUUCGAUCCUCGAGACCUCCAGUGAAGGAGGACGAGGUCGAUCGUGACAAGCGGCGAGAGUCCGCGGAGAAGCAGAAGUCCGUAUUGGACUUAAAGAAGAAAAAGGAGAAGAAAAAGAACCUCGAUCGCCAAGCUCCGGAGGUGCGCCGAGUGAAAUCCAGGCAGAGGGGGAACCUGAGGAAGAGUCCCCUGAUGAGGAUGAGGGCGAUGAUGGCAACGAUAGCGACGAUUCGGAGGGAAUGGCGUCCCGUCUCGACCGGAUCCUCGAGGGUCCGCCUCGUGCCGACGCCGAUGCCCCACAAACGGGAACACCAAAAGAGGGACCAGGUGGGUCUUUUGAGAGGCAGUAGAGGGAGUCGUCCCCUCACCGCUCCCGUGCUGACAUCCCUCCCGCGCCGGCUCAAAGUCGGUCCGUCCCGCGCCCCCAACCUCCCCCUGCGCCAAAGGCGGGCGACUGGGCCAAGCCCUAGCCGAUGGGGCCGUUGACCCGUGGUCGUGCCGCAGCCUCCGGCAAGGGGGAAACAAGCCGCAGGAGCUCUAGCCCUGGCGCUCGUCAGGCCAGAGACGCCGAGCUGAGGCUUGCGCCCGCUCGUGAGGGGCCUAGAGCCUUAACACGAGGCGGUUCAAGGCCUGCCGGUCGAGGUACCGGCAGGCGGGCCGUCCUCCCUGUGGGGUAAGGUUUUCGACACUAUGAUUCUCAUCUUCCUAUGUCUUUGUGUUUUCUUCGUGUAACGGCUUCUUUCAUGCCCGUUCAGGUUGAAGCGGACGCUCGAGCAGGCCCAGCCCUCGUUGGCCAAAAGGCUUAAAGUAGGAGCAGCCUCCAAAGGUUCAGGUUAGCAGCUUAUUCCCGUCGUUAUGGGACAUGUGUUGUUCUUACGUCGAUCAUCGUGACGACUGACCUUUGCUUUUGUGUGUUUUACAGGCUCCUCCGACCCUCGAUCGCCGACCGGUGCUAAGAACGCCCCGCCCCGUCCCUUGGUGGGUGAAUCUGCCCCAUCGUCACCAAAAUGGUUCGAGGCACCUCCCCCCAAGGGCAGGAGGGAGCCCCCGAGCCUCCCCGAUCCGGGGUCAAGGGGGAUCCUAUCACUAUAUGUGAUGGAUCUGGUGGCGACGGGCCCUCGAAGGACGCUCGUCCUAUGGACGAGGAGGCCCAGACCUCUCUCGCCGCAAACCGGACGCCCUGGCCUGCCGGGCUUCGCUCCGUCGAGGAGCAGAGGAAGAAGGAGGAGGAGCGCGAGCAGGAGACGCGGCGGCAGCCGCAGGAGGGGCAGCAGCUGCAGCAGAAAGAAGGAGAGGAAGGGCAUCCGCCAGCUGGUCCCCAACUCGAGGAGCUGCUAGAGCAGGAUCGUCAACGGGAGCUGCAGGAGCUCUAGGAGCAGCAGCAGCUGAGGGGCCAACAAUUGGAGGAGCUGCUCGAGCCUCCCCUCACAGUCCGCCCCAACCAGUGCCACCAGCGCCGCAAGAGCCUGGAAACCAGGAGGAGGGUCUGCCAGUUUUCGGUCCUCCAACCCUGGCGUGGCUCCGUCCAGGGGCGCCCGCCUCGAUCCCAGUAGAGUCAGGGCAGGUGGACGGCGUGGUCGCGCUCACUUGUAUAAUGCACACCCCCGUUGACCCCCAAUUCGAGAUCAGGCGUACGAUCUAUGGCAUGGAUGGAAUCGCUUCGGGAUUCCUUCGAGCGCGUCGAUCGUGGGAGGACUGUUGACGGUUCUUAAGUAUCAAUUUUAAUUAUCAAAUAAACAAGAGAAAGGACCAAUAUGCAACCAGCACAUAGAAUUAGGGUUUGAUCUGACAGAAUUCCACGAGUUUUGUUGUUUAUCUAUUUCUGCAGGGGGUUAUCAGGCAAUAAGGAAGAAAGGCCCACAUGUCAGGAUUACAUAGAGAUAUCAACGCACCGCGCAAUUUUACAUCAUCUAGAAGACUCCAGAAGCCACGAGACCGAAGCGGAGGCGAAGCUGGGCCAGGCCCAGGGCGCCCGCCCUGGAAGCCUGGGCGCCCGCCCCCCUUCUGGAGCCAAUUCAGGACUCCUUCGCUCGGGAUAUUCCACCGACCUAUUGGAUCAAGAAAAACAUAGUACCGCCUCGGCUAUCGACCCAAAAACGCAUAGAAGGGGAGGACUAUAUAAGCGAGGCCCCCUGGCCCCUGGAAGACAUGAAGAAAUUAUCAUAGAGACUGAGGGGUGCCCUCGAAGGAAAACCUCUUCACUAAUUAAUAUUUCUUUUUAGGCUUAGCAAUCAAUGUAAGGUAGAAAUAGAUCUUCUAGUUUCUACUAGAUUGAGAGAUAUAGAGUGGAGGUGUAGAUUGGAGGAAGCCCGGCCUGUCGGUGUCUACUCCAAGCUUGUACCUGCGGGAUCAAGUUCUCCUAACCCGAAGCUUGCUCCUAGGAUUCUUCAGUAUUUCGACUUCUAAAUUCUAGUAAGUUCUUGUUUUAUUGUUCUUAUGGUUUAUGAGUUUACUUUAAUCUCUUCGCGUAGAGUUUAGAGUAAUCAUUACUGGCGUAAACGUGGUGUUUAGGCUGGGGUACUCAUAGAUAUUCCCUGACUAGCUGGACCGUGGUAGUAGUGAGGAACGUGACAUUUUCGAGCUACCUUUGUAGAUCACAUCUCGUUAGCAGGAAGGAUAGGGUUUAUAGGUGCGGGUCGAACAUCCUUUUUGGUGUCUAGAUUCCGUUAGCCUCCCCAUUAGAACAGUAGAUCAUCCUUACCAAGGUUAGAAGGAGACUACGGUUGCAGUCUUCUCUAUUUAUCACUCACAUCGAAAGACAUUCUUUGUGCCCAAAGGUUAGUAGUAAUAGACCGGUUAGUCAGAUGCACUCUUUCUCCUAGUGGUAAAAAAAUAAAUACGAUACUCUGGAUAAUUUCCCGGGUGAAAUGCUCACCGAUAUCCGUGCGCUUGCGGAUCAAUUCCUUAUUGCGUUCCCAAAUAUCAACAAGCAUUUCUGGCGCCGUUGCCGGGGAGAAAGACGGUUGCUGAGAUAACCUGUGUCUUGCUAUUAGCUUGUAUCUAUACUUUUAUCUUUUUGUAUCUUUUAUAUUCUUUAUUUAUUUUCUUUAUUCUUACCUUAUGGAAAAUCAAAAUUCUAAAUCGAUCCAUGAGUGUGCAAUCCCUUUAGCAGCUGACCUUUUACCAUGGGAAUCAUCACAGCCUAUCCAAACACCCCAGUAUAAGUUAAGUUCUAGGUUGAUUGCCAUGAUUCAAAACCUAUCUUUUUCGGGAAAGGAAGACGAAAACCCUUACCUUCAUAUUAGAGAUUUUGAGCAAACAUGUGAUUGUCUUCGCAUUGAAGGCAUUUCUGAUAAGACUUUACGUUGGAAGCUUUUUUUACUUUUUCUCUAAGGGGAGAAGCUAGACAAUGGUACAGUCAGAAGGUAAGUCAACAACAAGGUGAAUGGGGAGUCUUACGAGCCAACUUUUGUCUAGAUUUCUAUUCCCUUGACCGUAUAGCCGACCUUAGACUCGAAGUCCUAUCUUUUAAACAAAAAGAUAAUGAAACUUUGGGAAAAUCCUGGAAACGUUUUUCUGAUCUUUUAGAAUCUGGUCCAAACCUUAAUCUUGAAGACCCUGUUCUUUUAUUUCACUUUUUUCGGGGUCUUCAUAAAAAUCACAAACAAAUGCUACACACAAUGUCUAGAGGUUCUUUCUUUCGCAUCCCUGCUGAUGAAGCUAGAGUGAUCCUAGAUAGAAUCCUAGAAGCUGAGAUGGAUAAUACCCUUCAUGAUGAAACCUACGAAGCCGAAGUAGACACUCUGCCAAAUUUUUCAUCUACUUUAGCUAUCCCAAGUUCUGAGCCACAAGAGGAAGAAAUUCCACUACCGGACUUCAUGCUGGAUAUAGAAUCCGAUCUUUUUGCCGAUUUUGGAAAUAUUUCAAACUACCAUUCUAUUGACAAACCCCAAAACGGCCAGUUUAGCAUUUAUUUACCAAGUGAAUAUCAAUUGAGAGAGCUUAUCUCAGUGAUGAGUAGCGAAUGGUUGGAGGAAUCAGAGCUUUCCUCUGAUGUGAUCCGUUUGGACACACCCUCUAUAACUAUACGCUGUGCUUAUAACUCUGAUCGAUUUAAUGCUCUUUAUAAUCCUGUUGUGGGGAUCAACAUUAUGUCUGAAUCUUUUGCACUUAAACUAUUUAAAAAUCUUGUCUUAACCCCCACAACAAAGGUCAUAAAGGAAUCUUCGGGACGAUUAGUCCCCAGUCUUGGAAUUAUUAAUGUCCUACCUCUUACGGUAGAAGGCUCCAUGGUUCAUUUGAACUUCUAUAUCUUUGAUACAUGGGACUUCGACUUAUUGAUAGGACAACCUUUUAGAAGACUCCUUUAUGAAGGUCAUACUGGAAAGCUACACAUUUCUUUUGGAAAAACUUUUCAAUUCCCAAUGAUAAUUUCACACUCCUUAAAUAAUAAGGCCGAGUCAUAUCUUUUGCCUGAUCCUAUGGAGGAAGUAAAGGCUGCAUCUCUAGAGCUUUUUGAUGAACCAGACUUAGAAGACGAAACUCCUUUCUUCACAGAAGAAGAAGACGAACCUUCCGAGCCUGAACCCUUAGAUGAGUUUGCAGAAACACCUAGACCCCCUAUAGAACUUAAAACUUUACCACCCGGUCUUACCUAUGCUUUCCUAAACAAUAAUCCAGAAUUCCCUGUGAUCAUUAGCGAUAAACUCAAUCAGGAUCAAACUCUGCGAUUAAUGACCAUUCUUGAGAAACAUCACUCAGUUUUUGGCUACUCACUUCAAGACCUUACAGGAAUCAGUCCUAUGAUUUGUACCCAUCGUAUUCCAACAGAUCCUUCUGUUACACCCUCUCGAGAACCCCAACGUAGACUUAACAACACUAUGAGAGAGGUAGUUAAAAAGGAAGUUAUAAAGUUGCUGCAUGCAGGGAUUAUAUAUCCUGUGCCGCACAGUGAGUGGGUAAGCCCAGUACAAGUUGUGCCUAAAAAGGGAGGCAUGACAGUUAUUAUGAAUGAAAAGAAUGAGCUAAUUCCGCAACGCACCGUCACAGGAUGGCGGAUGUGCAUAGACUAUAGAAAAUUAAACAAAGCCACGAGAAAGGAUCACUUUCCUUUACCUUUCAUAGAUGAGAUGCUAGAGCGGUUAGCAAACCAUUCAUUCUUUUGUUUCUUAGAUGGAUAUUCAGGAUAUCACCAAAUCCCGAUCCAUCCUGAUGAUCAAAGCAAAACCACCUUUACAUGCCCAUAUGGAACUUAUGCUUACCGUAGAAUGUCUUUUGGGUUAUGUAAUGCACCAGCUUCUUUUCAAAGAUGCAUGAUGUCUAUAUUUUCUGAUAUGAUUGAAGAGAUUAUGGAAGUUUUCAUGGAUGAUUUCUCUGUUUAUGGAAAAACUUUUGAUAGUUGUCUUGAAAACUUAGACAAGGUUUUGCAAAGAUGUGAAGAAAAGCACUUAAUCCUUAAUUGGGAAAAAUGUCAUUUUAUGGUUAGAGAAGGAAUAGUGCUAGGACACUUAGUGUCUGAAAGAGGGAUCGAGGUAGACAAAGCUAAAAUUGAAGUAAUUGAACAGCUACCUCCACCUGUGAAUAUAAAAGGAAUUCGAAGCUUUCUUGGCCAUGCUGGUUUUUAUCGUAGAUUCAUAAAAGAUUUUUCAUUUAUUGCUAGACCACUUACUCUUUUGCUAGCCAAGGAUGCUCCUUUCGAAUUUGAUGAUGCAUGUCUAACAUCUUUCAAUUUUAUUAAAGAAAGCGCUCAUCUCUGCACCAAUCAUUCAACCCCCUGAUUGGUCGUUGCCUUUUGAAAUUAUGUGUGAUGCUAGUGAUUAUGCUGUGGGGGCAGUAUUGGCACAAACUAAAGAUAAGAAGCAUCAUGCAAUUGCUUAUGCCAGUAAAACUUUGACAGGAGCUCAACUUAAUUAUGCAACCACUGAAAAAGAGCUUCUGGCUGUUGUCUUUGCCAUUGAUAAAUUUAGAUCUUAUUUAGUUGGAGCUAAAAUAAUUGUUUACACUGAUCAUGCUGCAUUAAAAUAUUUGCUCACUAAAAAAGAUGCUAAACCUCGCCUGAUUAGAUGGAUCUUAUUACUCCAAGAAUUUGACUUAGAAAUAAAAGAUAAAAAAGGAGUAGAAAAUUCUGUUGCUGAUCACUUGUCUAGAAUGUAUUUUAAGAGUCCACAGGAAACCCCUAUCAAUGAUUCACUCCGGGACGACAUGCUCUACGGGAUUAACAGGUCUGACCCUUGGUAUGCAGAUAUUGUUAAUUUUAUGGUUUCAGGGUAUGUACCACCAGGAGCAAACAAGAAGAAGCUUACUCAAGAAAGUCGUUCACAUAUAUGGGAUGAGCCAUACCUCUUCCGAGUAUGCUCUGAUGGCUUACUCAGGAGAUGUGUGACCACUGAGGAAGGAUGGAAGAUCAUCGACAGAUGUCAUUCAUCACCAUAUGGAGGUCAUUAUGGAGCAUUCCGUACACAUUCAAAGAUCUGGCAGUGUGGAUUCUAUUGGCCUACAAUGUAUGAAGACACGAAGCAAUAUAUCAGGAUAUGUGGGCCAUGUCAAAGGCACGGAAACAUAAAUACAAGGGAUGCAAUGCCACUCACCAACAACCUUCAGAUUGAGCUCUUUGAUGUCUGGGGAAUAGACUACAUGGGUCCAUUUCCUCCAUCAAAGAAGUGCGAGUACAUCUUGGUGGCGGUUGACUAUGUCUCCAAGUGGGUAGAAGCAUUACCUUGCAAGCAUGCCGACAACGUCAGUUCAAAGAGGAUGUUUGAAGAAAUUAUAUUUCCAAGAUUUGGAGUUCCCAGAGUAGUGAUAAGUGAUGGAGGAGCACACUUCAUCGACAAACGUUUCAAGCAAUAUCUAUCAAAACAUGGAAUCCGUCACAAUGUCACUACCCCUUAUCAUCCUCAGACAAGUGGCCAAGCAGAUACUUCCAACAAACAAAUCAAGAAUAUUCUUCAGAAGAUAGUAAAUGAAAUGGGAACGGCGUGGAAAGACAAGUUACCCGAUGCACUCUGGGCAUACCGGACAGCAUACAAGACCCCAAUUGGAAUGUCUCCAUACCAAUUGGUGUACGGGAAGACUUGCCAUCUACCUGUUGAACUAGAAUUCAAAGCACACUGGGCCAUAAAGAGAUGGAAUAUGGACCUAGAUGUUGCUGGAGAUUAUAGAAGAAUGCAAUUAUCAGAAUUGGAAGAAUGGCGAGAGAAGGCAUAUCACAAUUCAAAGAUCUACAAAGAAAGAGUCAAACGGUGGCAUGACAAGAGAAUCAAGAAGAAGGAGUUCACACCCGGAGAUAAGGUAUUACUUUUUAAUUCCAGGGUGAAGCUUUUCGGGCAUGGAAAACUCCGGAGCAAAUGGGAAGGACCAUUCAAGGUAAUCAAUUCAUCAUCCCACGGAGCUAUCACACUUCAAAAUAACGAAGGUACGUUAUUCAAGGUAAAUGGUCAACGUCUUAAAUUAUUUUUAGAGCCCAAUGAGGAAUUUGAAGAAAUAGACGUAGUCCAUUUUUACCUUCCCAUAGAGAAUUAGAGCCCGACACUUUUGGUCUGAUGGUUUUGGGUCAUAUAUAUAUAUUUCUAAAUAAUUUCGCAUCUAGAAACACGCUCGGAAAAGUGGGCCCAUAGAGGGGCCAGAGAGAGGGCGGGCGCCCACGUCAAGUGGGCGGGCGCCCUGCCCCUGUUCCCUCUCGGUCCCGACUUUCUCUGUUAUGGAAAAUGCACUUAUGGUAAUUCGAAUAAUCCCUCGGACGGAAAGUUUCCCACGCAAGUUGACGGGAGUAACCCGAACAACCCAUAGAGGCACCCUUUUGACCCCUAUAUAAACAGACCCCUGACCUCAGUUUUCAAACACUAAGCCAUCAAGCUUUUUCUCCUUCAAUUAGAGCUUGAUUAGCUCGUCUUUAAUUAAAAUUUUAUUUCCUUGCUACUCCAAUGGCCGAGAAGUACCACGAUGAUUGGGAAGUCGUCCCCUUCAACCUCAACAUGGAGCCAGUGGGAGACCCCGAUGCCCGUGCUCUCGUCCCGGCCAACACAGAGCGUCAGCUAGAAGCCAUACCAUUACGCCAACGCAGCUCCGCCCAAUCUUACCAUGCUCAACCAGUUCUCACCGCACCACCACAACCCCUACUCCUCAAAGGAUCAUCAUCUAAGACGAAGACCACUAUCAAGGUGUCAAUCGGCACAAGAGUCCUUCCACCUAGACCCAAUGAGAGGGUCGUUGGAGUCAAGACCAACCGAAGCGGUGAGAUCAGCAGUGUUCGCUACACUACGGAGGAGGAAAGGCCUUACUUUGAAGGGAUUAGAGCAGCCAAAGUCCGUUUCAUCCCUCCAAAGGCAGCCCCGAAGCACGCUCUCAAUGCUUUUGAGACACCUCCCAAGCGUCGCAAGACUAUAAUGGAUAUUGAUGAGGAAGUUCGCAGGCUAGAUAGAAUUAUCAUAGACCUCCAGUCCUCGAUUAAUUCCCUCACUAGGCAGCUCUCUAACCACAACACCGUUAUACUAGGCCUUAGGCAGGAUCUUGCCAGUGCCAACAAGAAGAUCAAAGAAUUAGAGCGCCGCUAAGUUAUCUAGAUUAGACCUUGAGGCAGUGCAUCUUAGUUUUCUAUCUUUAAAUUCGGUUUAAGUUUGCUUUUAUAAGUUUGCUAUUAUUAUCAAUUUGUUAUCAGUUUGCUAUCAGUCUUUUGUAAUAAAUGCCUCAAGAUCAAUAAAGAGUAUUAUUAUUAUUAUGUUUUGUGUGUCUCUACUUUAUUUUUGUGCAAGAAAGCAGAAAACAAGUAUGGGGGAGAUCCCUCAACAUGCCAACCACACUCCGACUACACCACUCCACCACUCAGGUACACACUCUGCACACUUUACUUUACACAUAUACAUAUUUUGGAUUAUGCAGAUUACUGUUUCCGACAUGAUAAAUUAAAAAGAUUAAAAUAUUUCUAAUCAUGAUUAAUCUCAAUCUGUGAUAUUUCCUGAAAACUUGCAAUUAGUAUAAAAUCAUUUUAAAACCCUGUGUUACUUAAGUCAAUAUGGAAUAUGUGAUGGUAGAGUAUGAGUUUCUUAUUCUUGAUAUCAUCGUUGCUUGGAGAACUUAUUUCAAAAUAUUCAAAUUUCUAGCUACCAUCCUCAGUGUUUUAUAUGCCUGAUAAAACUGAAAUAUUAAUUAUGAUUAUAAAAGCUAUCUGCUCUGUAUUGAGUUUGUUCAAAAUGAGUUAGACCCUUGUUGAGAGAUUUAUCAUGCUCCCAAGAUCAAGACAUUAUUUCAGAAAGAUUCACUCUUCCGAAGUAUUAUUGCAUUAGAGGCAUGGGCUAUGCAAAAAUAGAAGAUAUUUUGAGGAAAUAAAAAGGAGCAAGUGCUCGACAACCUCGCAGAAAAAAUGGACAAGUGUCCGGCAGUAGAAUUAGGGGU